rnacentral:lncRNA from 1 species
CUACUACUCUGGCAUGUGACCUUUGGAAGGUUGCUCAGAAGGGGAUGCGGCCUUCAAGCUGAAAAUAUUUUCCCACUCCUGAGGUAAAUGUACCAAAUAACACUAUUAUAUAUAAACCAAUACAGAAAAGGUUACAAAAGAGCCCUGAGGUAAAUGGUUGUAAGCCAUUAAAUAAAUGUUUUGAAGUGCUGUCAUCUUUGUGGCAAAGCUUUUAGAAUUGGAAUUUAACCCCGUCCUGACUGAACAAUUUUUUGUCAGGAGACGUUCUUUUCUCACUCCUGUUUAACCAAAGUUUUGUUACAACCCAGGUUUCCACGAUAACCUUUGAGUGCCUCUCUUUUGGCAUUUUGCAGGCUUGUAUUCUGAGUCUGAGACUCCUGGGAAGAAAAUUUAACUGGGAUGCUCAAGCAGAGUUUUUCUGUGAGAAGCACCGCAACAGAAAUUCCUCUCAGACUUGCUUAUUGUUGCAGAGAGAGCCUUUGUAAUUACCAAGGGAUUAGGGCAGAAUAUGAAAAGUCUUGGAAGAAAGCAGCUUUCUUGCAGAUCAGGAAUGUGUGCUGCACAAAAUCAGCCGGGUUAGUGAGGCAGAAGUGUAUUAAAAUGCUAAGAGUUCAAGGAGGAGGUCCUAGUGAAAACUCCUAAUUAAAGAAAUAAAAAAGAAGGUUUCUAAAGAGUGCCAGAGAUUAUGUCAUUUGAUUUCUCCAGGAAGAAAAGGGGUCUUUUGAGGAUUGCAAAUGAGAUGACAAUGCUGCGCCAAUACAAUGGACUUAUCCCCUUUCCACAAUAAAAGUAAUGAAAACUGGGCUUAAUGGUACAUAAAUAAAAAUAAUUAAAUAGAAGAUAGUGGUAGUGGUACAUUACCUGAAUUAAUAUACAAGAUUAAGAGGCCAAUAACCCAGAAACAACUUACUUUCUUGAUCUUUUAUAUAAAUUAAUCCAGCCUUUUAGGCAUCAAUAUGAUCUUACACCACACUGAGUUACAACAGUGCUGUAUCAUUUUAUUAAGGGCAUAAACAAAAAUAUUUUUAAUUAAAGAAAUUGGUGACAAAACAUUAGCCAGUGUCUAGAUUUGUGGCAUACCUCUUCAGAAUAGGAAUGGGGAAGAAUUUUGGUUCAAUCCACAAUUUGGAGUGAACCCCCCUGCCAAUCUACAUCUGACAGAUCAUGCUCUGAUCAAAGCACAGACAAGUGGAUUAGAUUGCAUGUAUACCCCCCCCAAAGGUACAUGCCAUCAUUUUCUCCAUACCAUCAUCCAGGUAGGGAUGUAAGAAGACAUCAUUUCUGUUCCAACCUGUGUUGUUCACAUGCAUUGCUGUUUUCAUUCUGCCGCAGUUCAGCUUCCAACAAAAACUGCAUUAUUUGUCUCACUGUGACCUGUUAUGGAAUUUUCCAUAAUAAAUUACAUUCUUCAAUACCAUUUAUUUCAGCGCAAAGGAAACACAAUGCAAAUUGUGGUGAGGUGGAGAGAUCAAUUAUAUAUUGCUUUUACUCUGAAACAACAGUGAAUAUUAGACAUAUAUCCUGGAUAUUGGACAUAUAUCCUGGAUUGAUAACAGUUUUUUAAAAAUAAAUAAAUAACCAGGGAAACCCUCAUAAGUUCUCCAAAAACAAUUUAAUUUUGUUAAAAGCAUGCAGACUUUUUAAGGAUAUUUCCUUUUAAAAAUCCACGUGAACCAGGGUUGGAUUUGAUGAUCUACUCAUGUGCAGGGAACACAGACUGGAUUAGGACUCUUUUAUCCAUUCGUACUUCAGAGUCUUUAGAGUUAGAGAGUCACAGUAAAGUGGUUUUGUGGCAGAGUGCAAAUGUAUAUGAAGAAUAAUAAUAUUAGGAAAAUAUAAUCCUAUUCUGAACACACACAAAUACACAAGAGUAUAUUUCAUGUUUCAAGUGGAAACUGGUUAUGUUAAAUAAGUCAGAAAAGUAUAACAUUUCACAUCUGAGCUCUAUUCUGAAAUGCAUUGCUGGUUUUUAUGUGUCUGAACCUGUCUUGGAGACAUUUUCAAAAUACUUAUUCCAAAUAGAUUCUUAUGCAAGCUGGUUCUAUAGAUAGCCGAUAUGAAUAUUAUUCAACCUGACUACAAUGUCAUAACACUGUUUAUUAUUUGAAGAUGCAAGCGUAAGCUUACAGGGAAGUAACUCCCAUUGAAAUAAAUGAGAGUCACUUAUGAGUAAACAUGUUUAGGAUUGCAGGACAAUACUGUUUACUUUGACUAGAAACAGAUGUUAUAGAGAACGCAUGGCAGCUGCAGAAAACUACAGCUCAGCCUAAUGCUUAUCUGGUGCUCAGUAACAUUUCUUUUAAUACAGUGGUACCUCAGGUUAAGUACUUAAUUUGUUCCAAAGGUCCAUUCUUAACCUGAAACUGUUCUUAACCUGAAGCACCAUUUUAGCUAAUGGGGCCUUCCGCUGCUACCACGCCACCAGAGUAUGAUUUCUGUUCUCAUCCUGAAGCAAAGUUCUUAACCCAAGGUACUAUUUCUGGGUUAGCGGAGUCUGUAACCUGAAGCGUAUGUAACCUGAAGCGUAUGUAACCCGAGGUACCACUGUAAUACAAAGCAUAUGAUGUGAUGUCAUUGUACUCUGAGGUUCUCUGUCUUUUCAAGCAAUAGCUAACAAAGUGCAGCACAAUGGGAAAGCAAAGACUGCAAUGUUGUCAAAUCUAGGUAAAGGAUGACGUUUUGGUGAUGCUUGAAUCUGGGAUGAACCCAUGGUUUCCCAUGGGGGUGUUCCAGUUUGAACAAACAGAAGCCUGAUCUUCUAAGAUAAAGCUGCCAUUGGAUACAACCCUUUGUAAUUAUGAAAUGAUGUUGUAUUGAUAUGUAUCAUUAUUCCUAAUACUUUUGUCAAUAAGAUCAAACGUUAAGUCAGGCAAGGGGCACCAGGAUAUUGCUGGACUAUGGUUUCCAUCAUCCCUGCCCCCCACCCAUGCAGGGGUUGAUGGGAUUUGGAGUCCAAAACAUGACAGGCACAGUUCCCACCCCUGUUUUAAAUUAUGUAAGAAAUCUGCCAUAAGACUUUUCCUGCUCUAGAUCAAUUCUACUCAUUUUCCCCACACUUUAAUAUGUUUCUCCCCCACAAUUGCCUUGCAUAACACUUUUCUUUUUAGCUAUCUUAAAUUGCCUGUCUUAUUGAAGAAAGGAAUGCAUGCAUACAGCCACACUUUGCAAAAACAAAUAUGUUGUUAUUGCAGUCAGCUAGACCACAUAAUGUAUAUCAUAUUAAGUACUAACUUAAUUUUUAGGGAUGAGUGUCCUGUACAAUUUGUAGCACUGAAUUCCUUGAGGAAACUCACAGCCCAGCUGCACAUGGAUGGAUACUAUUUGUUUUAAAAGAUUUAUCCCUUGCCUUUGCAUCAAUUAAUGUUCAAGAUGGCUUACAUAUAAAUAACGUUAAAAUAAUACAAAAAUAGAUGUAUUAAAACUUUACCAAACAGCCCAGUAGGGAGCAGCUAAAACAAUAAAACAAUUUCCCUUGUGAUCAAAAGUUUGAGAAAACAAACAGAAUUAACCUAUUAAUUAAUUUGUUCAGACAGAACUCAGAUAAGUAAUGAACCCUAGAGCCGAUACCACAUAGCAGAAGUUGCUUUAUCGAGACAGUAUUUCUCACUGUACUAUUGUCAGUUUUACACACACAGACCAAUUAAAUGAGCAAGUCAAUAUAUAUUCUGGAUGUACGUUCAGCAGAAAUAUAUACUUUUCGUUUGGUUUAUGUUGCAUGUUAGUGGCACUCCUAUAUUGCACUUAGUACUUAUGAAAUAGAAUUAACUCUUGUCUGAUUCAAGCUACCUGUCUCUUGCAUUAAAUCAUAACUUGCAGAGUGUCAGCAAAAGGCCACCUCUUGACAAAAAGGUCAUUUCAGUAACAGUGCUAGGUGUUUGAAACACUUCUUUUGACACCAGAGUGCGUUAAUUGUUCAUGGAACCCUUCCCCUUUCAGUGUUGCUUUAAGGCAUUCUGGCUCAGCUUAAAGUCAGUCAAGCAAAAUUGGAGCAUCUGGUUGCCGUGUCAAAAUAGCAUAGGCAACUUCAGUGUAGCACCCUAGUGGAUAAUCUCAACUCAGAAUACAAACAAUAUAUUAGUGAUUGCCAGGAGGCUACAGUUCCUAUUCCUUUGAAAUAAGUUGGAAAAAAUUAUGCACACAAACACACAAAUGUAAAUUAAGCUUAUCAUUUUCUCUGCCCUAUUCUGGCACUUCCUGUUUUAAAUAGUUGACCAUUGCUUGGAAAUUCAUUUCAUUUAACUCAUUUUCAACAUAUGAGUUAAUUGUUUUGCCAUUUAUAUCUCUUUAAUAUGUAAUUUAAACAUACACUUUAAAUUAUAUGAUGGGAGCAUGAAAAUGAGUGUCACUUAGAACCCAUGCAUCACUUUAAAAAGAAAAAGAAAAAGUUGUGUGGUGGUUUAGUACUAAAGUUAUUAAUAUUACAAGUGAUUGAAACUGGUGGUAAUUUCUGUGGCUGCUUUGCUAUACAGUAUUAUAUCAAUUGCUUAAAGAUUGUCCACAAAACCUCACUCCGGCUUAAUGGUUUACAGUAAGUAAUAGGUGAUCCUGUACAAAUUCAUAUUGUGUUUAUAGUGUUCAUUUGUAUGUUAAUGGCUUUUAGGGUACAAUUCUGCAAAAUGAAAUGAUUAAAUACAUGCCACUUACUUCUUAGAGAGAAUAAUUCAAAUUCUAUUACUAUUUGUCCUGAAAUGGAUGCAAAAUAAUACUGUCAGAAAAGCACAUAUGACAUCUGACAGUAGAUCCAGACCUAACCCCCAGGGCAGAUUACUCCUGCCCCAGGCAGGAAUAGUCUAUGCAUAGCACCAGGUCAGCAGGUCAGGCAGUAUAAAUGCUUAAAGAUUCUAAGCUUAUACCACCUCAUAUCUGUCCCUGCCUCAAAGUGCUACCUCCUGUGGUUCUGACACAAGUGACCUCCUGAGUGUAUGCCUGUGCUGUGGAAGUUAGAGGAAAGAUUUUUCCCCUCUGACUAUACACAUAGGAUAUGAUUUUUAAAGGAAGUUGCCAUGGCCUGGAUCUUAAAUCAAUGAGAAUACUUUUCAGUCAGUCAGUGAGAAAAGAGUUAAGCAUAUGAUGGAUGUUUGAAAAUUCAUUUCAUAGCACCAGAGGAUGCAGUCCUGACUUAGUAUUUAUUAAUUAGCAGAAUUUGGCUUUGCUGGGUUUCAUUCUCACCCCACCCCCAGAAAGACGUUGCUUCAGCAGUGAUUUAGAGGAGACUCUGCUUUGUGGCUUUCAGCCAGCACCCAAUGUCAGCAAGUGCUUACAUUUGCUUCCACGCUCCAUUCUUGCACUCCUGUGCAGGUAGCCAGGCUCUCUACCGUCAGCCCUGAAGUCUAUACCUGAUUCACCAUCGCCUUUGCCACUACUUUGUAUCUGCAUUAGUUUAUGUUACGGUUACCAGAUGUCCCCGGUUCCCGGGGACAGCCCCCGGAUUUACCAAUCUGUCCCCAGACAAAAUUCAUCUCCAGAAUGUCCUCGGAUUUAAAGUAAUGUCCCUGGAUUAAUCAUAUGCCUGGGCACUUCCAGACCCUCCCCAGAGCCAGAAGCAAUCAUCCACUACAGCUCCAGAGAGGGUCUCCUCAGGAGACGGAAGUGCAGCUGGGCUUUGCUGCAACUCUCCCACCUAUCAGCUGACAUUCAAAAAGAAACCUCCCUCUCUGUCAGCUCUGCAAACAGCCCUGCUCCUCCUGCUUGCUUGCUUGAGCCAGAGAGGCAAGGCUGCUCUUUGGACCUGCGGAGCUGAGGUGUAGGGAAGAAGCCUCCCUGCAUGACAUCUCUGCAAGCUACCCUGUCUCUCCUGCUUGCUCAUGAGAAAGAAGGAGACCUUUUCAUGCCUUUAAAGCCCCCUUUGCUGCAUUCUGCCUGCUUGUGAGCUGAGCUACCAAGCUGGCAGAAAGCAGGAUGCUGCCUUGAGCCUUCCCUUUGCUCUCCCAGACAGAAGCUGUUGCUUCAAAGUUAAGGGGGGGGGGAAUUGUCUUGCCUCAUUUGCUCCAUUCUGCAUGUUUGUGAGCUAUAUUGGACUGCCUUCCCUUCCUCCCUCCUCUCUGUGUUAUUGUCUGUCUCCCCAUUUUUUUCUCCUUACCCAUAAAACUCUUCCAAAUUCUCCCUUUGUCUUUUCACACAUUUGGUUCCCCAACCCUAUACAUCAUUAUGUGCUGCUGCUACACUAGCAAAAAAUAAAAGGGGAGGAAUGCUUUAUGUUUAUUUUGGGGGUGUUUAUGUUGGUUCCCCCUAAAGAGCUUUCCUGUUCCCUUCUUAUUAAAGAAUGAACCUUAAAAAAAUUAAAACGAACCUUUAAAAAAAUUAAAAGAGGCUACCUCUGCUUGCUUGCCUCCCUCCCCUUCCCUUUGAUAAAAAGGGAGAGAUUGGUAGGAUGGGGCUUGGGGGGGUAUCUUCUGUGUCACAAUAGGAGCAGGGAAGCCUUAUGUUCUUUUAAAUUGUGGCUGCUCUUGUUGAGGUACCUCCAUUGCAGGGGGUUGGCCUAGAUGCCCCUCAGAGGUCCUUUCCAAAUCUGUGAUUCAGUGAUCAUCCCACAGUCAUAUUCUCAAACUUGGCUUAUGUCUGUGCAGGAGACACCCACAGGUGGGCAGGGCAGCAGCAGAAGGAAGGGGUUUCUGCUAACGCUUACUCCUGAGUAAGUCUGUAAGGGAUCGCAGUGCAAGGUGGGAGAGGGAGGGAGUGGAAACAUGGCUAGUGCUCCAAGAAAGCAGGCUGGGACCCAGAGGAAGGCCAAGCAACAGAGGUGACCACAGAAGAGAAGAUAUUACUUCUUAAUUUUUUAAAAUAACUUUACACACACACACACACACACACACACACACACACACACAAUUUAUAUAAAGUGUCCCCGGAUUCAUUGAAAAAAUCUGGUAACCUUAGUUUAUGUAGGCUAAACAAAAUAUCUGGAAAAGGCUUUAUUUUGUGCAGAAUUCAAACACAGGCUGUUUAAUUGUGGGAAAUGGCUCUUCCACGAGCAGUAGUCAGCUACCACAAGAGGAAGAUCUUUGAAUUUCAGCCUAAUAAAUACACAGAUUUUGUCUUUAAUCUGCUAGUUAUGUGUUUUCAUAUUGGGUAAUCACUUAUGUGUUUUUCACAAAACAUUUUCCUUAUGUAUAAAAUGAGGCAAAUGACAGCUGGGUUCUCUGGAAAUUAUUUUAUGCUUAGACUUGAAAAUACAUGCCAAAGAUUAUUGUGUAAAUAAAUACAUUUCAUUAUUACCACUAAAAAGCACGGAUCUCUGGGGUAGAACAUGGCAACUUUUUAAUUGCCCACAGCAGGACCACACAAGAGCUCAGGACAGCAUGUGAGAGUGGAUAUUAAUGCAACUGAAAUUAGCAGGAGAACUUGGUGUAUUUUCGAGAGCCAUAUGAUCAUUGCUCCCGAGAGUCAUUAGGGAAAUUCAGUGAGUUAAAUAGCUCCCUUUUGUAAUGUAAUUGGACUAGGGAUUUUCUCAUCUGAAAAGCUGGAGCAGCAAAGGUACCAUGUAUGAGUUAAUACUUUUAUGUGUUAAAGUGUUAAGUGUUGUGAAGUAUGUCUCUGACAUAUAUAGUCAAGAUAGGCUGAGUAUGGAAUAACAUUAUGACAUUAAUACACUAGUAAUCCAUACUCUUUCUUGAGACAGUGGUGGAGUGUGUUGCAGUUUAUGCCCAUGAAUGGAACGUUGGCACCCAUCUGCCAUUCUUUCUACCUGCUGAAAAGUAACUUUUAAUGAACUGGACAUAAGAAAAAUUGCCCAGACCAAUGGAAUAAUACUGGUUUUAGGAAAUUGAAGAUGGCAGAUUACCGCAGAUUAAUGUCCUCUCAGUACAUUAAUUAUACCACAAAAUAUCAUUUACUAAUAGUGAAUUUUGUGAUUGGCACAUGAUUACCCUACAUGCUUACCAAAAGGCAAUAGCUCACGAUUAUGAUCAGGAUGUAAUCUGUGUGUGUGUGUGCGCGCGCGUGCGUGCGUGCGAACGCAAAACUUAAAAGUCAGCUUGGAAGAAAGAGAGCACAACUGCCAGGAAGAGAAGAGAGUUUCUGUUCUCCUUAUCUCCCCAUUUUCCUUUCUUCCAGGCCAUACUUGAUUGUAAGGUUUCCGGGUUCAAACGUACCUGGGAAUUACAGAAAUUUAAAUGGAAGGCCUGCCCCUCUCCCAGUGAGUGGCUGCUAGCUUCAACUAGGAACUAACUAAAUAGGAAAAAGUGACCGGUCCAACACUGGGGGGGGGGGGGUUUACAGACUACUUUCUGCCCUCUUUAGGAAACCAGAUGCCAAGGCCAAUUGUUUAGGCACUAGUGGCACUGGAAACUUGGCAGUUUGCAUUCCUAUUUGUAAUAGAACUGUCUAAGAAACACCCAUCAUCUCUUUCUGUUGGCCAUGCUGGUUAGGCCUGAUGGGAGCAUCAUUCUAUUCUUUUCAGAUUGUGUGGUUUGUGAGAGUGUGAAUGCUGCUGUACUGGACGAUCCAAAUGUAUUCCAACAGGAAAUUGUCAGUUCGUUGUUAUCAGAGUGGCCAUCAAAUUUUAGCUAAGGUGAACUUUGGAGUUAAUCUUGGAGGUUGCUACCUCAGUGAAACAUCUAAGGAAUUUGGGGGAACGGAGAAAGAGCUUCACCAAGAUUAACAAAACUAUAGGGGAAGUCUCCUAUUUUGAACCCACAGAAAAUUGUAAUGAAGGUGUGCCAAGACUGUCACCUGCCUUUCAUAUUCACAUUAGGAUUUGUGGGUUAGUGAAGAAGUUGCCUGUGCAGUGGGACUACAUUUUCAAUAGAAUUUCACUUAGAGUGAAAUGAAGUCAAAUGUUGAACUUUUUGCUUGGAAGAAUGAACGGAGAAAUGUUGAGUGAAGUUAAAAGAAUUCCAGAGGGACUAGCAAAAGAUGUGGGUGGCAGAUAUACACAUAACACUAAUGGUUACUUCAUUCUUUCCCUUUCAAUGUCAGCUUUUGAAUUAUUCUUGUAAGAACAUGCAUCUGACACUUCAUUUGUAUGGCUCUGACAUUACAGUUCCACUUCUACUAUAUUGAUUAGUUUGCAACAUGUAAAAGGAUGAUAUUUUUGCUGUGCAGGAAAACAAGUGCUUCAAGUACUUACUCACUAUGUAUUUCUCAAUGAUGGGCACCAUUGUUUUUGUGUUUUUGUUUUUUUUUAUUUCGGUGAAGUACCACAAGCAGCAUGCUAGAGGCCUCCUUGCAAAACACCAAAGAAUUCCCUGCUCCACUUACUCACAAAGAAAUUGAGAAUAAAGUCCUUGACUUAAGCAUAGAUUCACUUUUAUUACUUAAGCAUUGUAGUGGAGUCAUAAUUGCAGAAAAGAGCAUUUCAAUAGCUACUUAAAAACCGGAUUUUGUUGCAAUCUCAAAGAAGAUCCAAGGACAUACACUUUGAACACUACUUGAGUUUUCCAUUAUGGUUUGAUAAUUAGGUUGGAAAGAAGUUAACCUUGAAAAAUCUACUGAAAAAUAUUAUUCUUUAAGUUUGGCCUCUAUUGAGAGAAGUUGUAAGGGGUAGUUGCUAGCAUUGUGAGCUGUAAGCCAUGAAAUCCCUGGUUCAAAUUUCACCUCAUAUUUGAGCUCAUUGGAUGUUGUGAGCAAGCCGCUGCACCAGCCUGGUUUUCCCAUCUGUGAUAUACAGAGAUGGGAAUCCCUCCCUCCAUUGAUAUACCUUAGAUUGGCAGGCAACUCUGCCUUUAGUAGCACAGGACCUUCUAUCUACUCUGGUGUACCCAACCAGUUUAUAUCUGCUGCAGUUUAUCCUUUGUUUAAAUUUUGUAGAGAUUUGGUUAUUCUGUAGAUGCUUUCAGAGUUUGUUCCCAUAACUCCGUCAUGACCCUUCAACACCACUCCCAGCUGCCUCCUACUUUUGAAUUCGUCUCUCCAUUUAAAGUUGUUUUACACUGGUUUUAAUGUGUUUCAAUUAUAUUAGUAUGGUGUUCCUGUAUAAGAACUUUGUUUUGUUCCUUUAUAUUUUGUUGGAAGCCACCCAGAGUGGCUGGGAUAAACCAGUCAGAUGGGUGGGGUAUAAGAAAUUUGUUGUUGUUGUUUAUUACCACUCUGAGAACCAACCUCCUGGACAAGGACUUAAAUACUUCAGAAUAAAAGCAUAAUUAUUAUUGUUAGUUGCAGCUAGGCAACUCAGUGUGCAUGAGUUUGGAACACUGGUGCAGGAUGCAUGAUACAGAUGCUGGUGCAACUUUCCCAUGGCAGAGUUUCAGCCUGUUUGCUUUGGGUAGCUUCAGAAGUUACAAACAAGCACUUUUUAAUUUGUAACUAAAUUGGGGCAGAACAUCUGGUAGAUUGAAAGAUGCAUGAGUUCUGGCUAGUGAUAGGUGAAUACUGCUCCUUCCCUAGUUUUCCUUGAAUUAGUUCAUAUCAAUCUGGUUUUCUCCCAACUGGGAAAUUGCUUAGACUAUUCAGAGACAAUCUGAAUUAAAUCAGACUCUGUAGUGCAUCUAGUCAAGGGCAUAGACCAAUCCUUCUCUGAUCCUAUCCUUAAGCAUUUAAUUGUACUCCUGCCUGCCUCCCAUCAAGCUAAAACUCUGCAACCCACUCACUGGCCUUCAACCACUUUCUUCAACCAUCUGUUAACAAGUUUACCUUGGAACUAUGGCUCCAGUGGAGAGGGAUUGAGAUUUUUCUCCUCCCUGCCCUUAGCAUCCAUCCUGCUUUUGUGGCAGCACCAGGCACCAACGGAAGGCAAAGGGGUGGGAGAAACUGCUGUGCUUACUUUUUCCCCAGUGUCAGAGCUAAAAGCAAAAACAAGAAGGAAUGUAAAGAGGGGAAGGUGUUGCUCAGUAUAGGUGAGAGCAGUGCUGGGCAGGUGCCAGAACUCACCAUGAAUGCCUCCCUUGUUCUCUUAUAAUGACGAUGGCAUCCACCUGAGAGGUGUCGGAACUGAGUUCCAUCUGCAAAAAAGCCCUGGGUGAGGGGAAAGAAUUCUGUGGAUCAGCUUGAAAUAUGAGCUGGAGAAGAACUCAAACACAAAAUGAAAGUGCUUUGGCAAUUUCUAAUUUUAAGUAUGAGCUUUCCAUAAAAAGAGAAAAUUCCUUCUGAUGAGAGAAUUGUGAGGGUAUGUGUUAGGUCUAAUCAAGAGCACACAAAAAUGCACUUGAGUACAUUCAAAUCAUCGUACUGUCUAUAUAUGUCCAUUGCAUCAUGGCCAGAAACUUUAAUAACCCUCCCCACGGAUAGUGAUUUUUGAAGAAUGCUGCACUGCUACACAUGAAGGUUUGUUCUCUAAUAUAAAGUAUGUUCUUGUUUCAGUGGCAGCUUUCUGCCCCUCUUUCAUUAUGCUGUUUUACAAUUAAGUGCGGAAUGUGAAGAAUUGUUUUCAAAUAUGAUUGUAUUAUUUUCAUUCUGACAGGGAUUUAAAAUUGAAAGAAAUCUAUUUUUCAGCUUCACACUACCAAAAUUAGGCAAAGGGGGUUCCAAGUUAAAAUAGAUUACAGAAGAACAAAUGAAGUUGUGAGUUUUCUUCAGCGUAAGGCUGCUUUUGAAAAGUCACUCAUCUAAUCUGAACUAGAAGCUUAAAUAUGAUUUGCCCGGAAACCAAAAUAUAGCCUGAAACCUGAUCUGGAUCUGAACUUCUCCUCUCUUGCCAAAUAAAAGCAUACUUAACUUCAUUUUGAGAGAAUGGCCAGAUGUUCAUGCUGCUUUUUACUUUAGCUAAGCAAGUUCACCCACCUCUAAUUGAAAUCCUGAACAUUAAUACCUCUCAGGUGCUUUGCAGUGAGCAAAUGUCAUCCACAUACAUUUUUAUUUUUGUAUUUAAUGUUGAAUUUUCAUGUAGUUGUUAGUGGUGAAUAUGUGUAGACCAGGAGGGAAAUGUCAAAAUAGAACAUGCACCCCAGCAGAAUAUGUGCAUACUACAUACAGACAUAUCCAUUCUGCAUGCUAUAUGAAAGGCCUUUGUACAAGUAUUGUGCAUCUAUGUCAAUGGAAUAGUGGAACAAGUGCAACCAAUAUAUAUUCUUUCCUUUGAUAUUCAUAAAUAUUUAAUUAAAAUAUUGAUAUACUGCAUUGCCUAGGUUCAUACCGGAAUGCAAUGAAACCAUAAUAACAAUGAGCCAAAAAAAAUUUGGCAGUGAACAACAACUCAAAUCAGCAGCACACGUCACCUCCCAUAGGCCAGGUGCACCAACUCUAGGGGAGGGGACCUCAGCACCUCAAUAUUUGUUUUAAGGGCCCCAGGCCCCUUCAAUCUUGAGAUGGACCUGUGAGCACAGCAUGCUCUAUGUGUUGCAGGUCCUCCAGUGCUCAGCUUCCUCCGUUGGGCACGCAUUGCACAUGCGUCAUUACAGGUGUGUGACACACAUGACAUUACACACGUGCAGCACCCCACCCCCCCAAUCUUGGGAGCAACCUGGUGCCUCUGCCAUAAGCUAUCCAGGACCAGAGGCCUUGCAGCCCCUAAAGAAAACCACCAGGAAGAGGCUCAUCCUAACCUUCACAGGGAAACAAUUGUAUUGACUUUGAGCAAUUGCACUGACGGUUUUAUUCAUGUGAAUGGAAUUUUUUCCUAAGCCUAAUUGCCAUGGGAGAUACGAAGAGUAGGGGAAAAGAGAUAAGGGGAGAAAUUAGGGGAGAAAGAAAGAGAGAGAUGAGGUUUAAAAGACCGCAUAGCUGGAAGAUAAAUGUAUGUAUGAGUGUGGAUGGAUGGUUAGAUGAAUAUAGAGUGUGUGUGUGUGUGUGUGUGUGUGUGUGUGUGUGUGAAUAAAGGUAAAGGUAAAGGACCCCUGACAGUUAAGUCUAGUCGCAGACGACUCUGGGUUUGUGGUGCUUAUCUCGCUUUACAGGCCAAGGGAGCCGGCAUUUGUCAGCAGACAGUUUUUCGGGUCAUGUGGCCAGCAUGACUAAGCUGCUUCUGGUGCAACGGAACACCAAAACCAGAGUAGCGCACGGAAACGCCGUUUACUUUCCCGCCAGAGCGGUACCUAUUUAUCUACUUGCACUUUGAUGUGCUUUUGAACUGCUAGGUUGGCAGGAGCUGGGACCGAGCAACAGGAGCUCACCCUGUUGCAGGGAUUCGAAUUGCCAACCUUCUGAUCGGCAAUCCCAAGAGGCUCAGUGGUUUAGACCACAGCACCACCCUCUGUGUGUGUGAAUAGUUGUACAUAAAUGUGGUGUGUAUGGAUCCGUAGAUACGAAUGGAGUGUUGCUUUGUUCCUACCCUCUUUUAGCUGUUCACCACUACCAUGUGAGUCAUGAAAGGUUACCUAUAAGGAGAUGCAGCUUUUAACCUUAAAAUGGUUUCCCUGCCAUGUUCAUGUCAAAAUCUACAGAAAGCUUAAAGCAGUCUUGGUCUCCUUAGCAGACUGAAACCCUGAUUGAAAUAGUUAGAAAAAAGAUGCCACAUCUAGAAAUGAUUCAGCCUACUCUGCUACCAUAUAUUCAAGCCAUCUUUCCUAAAAAGAGAAGUUGUCAUCUUUGCAAAUGAUGACUUUAUAAGAAGCCACUGUCAUCUUUUUUAAUGGCAAUGGCAACCUGUCCUCCUUCAUAUUCACAACCCUAGCUAACGGUCCACAAUGCUCCAUCCUACUGCCCUUGACUAACAAUAGUGUAUACUAAUCUAGUGGUUAUGGGUAUAGGCUAAACAGCAGGGCUGGGAAAACACUGGCUCGCUCAGUGCUGCUGAACUACAACUCCCAUUAUCCCUGACCACUGGCCAUGCUAGUUGGGGCUGAUGGGAUUUGGAGUCCAACAAAAUCCAGAGGGCUGCAGGUUCCCCAGUCCUGCUAUACAGUCUCAAGCACUCUUCUGACAGCCAAGGAAUAAAUACUGUGCUGGUGUACAUAAAAAUGGCUAGAAUUUGGAUACAUCCCUGGCCCAAACAUGAUAUGCAUUAGAGGCGCUGAAACCCAUGAUGAUCCACAACAGUUAAUUCAGUCUUCCUAUAUACUACUUGACAAUGCAAUAUAGCCACAACACCUGGAAGUGACUUUGCAGUAGCUGUUCCCCAGCCCAAACACUUUCUAGAAUUAAUGUAGGCUUUUAUUCAGUAGUAGCAAUAUUAUUAUAAAAGGAAGGUUUUGACAGCUGGGGAAUAGGUACAGAGGUUUCAUAGUUAAAUAUUUUUAUCUGUGUUUAAUGUUCAAAUACAUAAUAAUUUGGCAUUUUGUGCCUUAGUUCACACUUCCCACAGGAUUUGCACUUGAGGUUUUAUGUUAAAAUACAGCAACAAAAGAAGAAAUGUCUACAGAAUUUUCAUUGAAGCAAAGUGCCUGAGAUGCUCAGAGUCAGAGCUGCAAUAGCUAAAGAAGAAUUGUUAAACAAUACACAUGUUUAGCAGUCUCCAUUGUAGUGGAUCCUAAUAUAUUACUAAUGUGACAGCUGUGAGUGUUGCAAGAUGGAAGACUUAUUAUGCAGUCUGAAACUUAAGACAGAUAUUUCUGGUCACUGUCUCUUCUUGUCUGUGCCAACAGAAAUUGUCUGACUACUAGGGGGCAGAGCCUAAGUGGUGGACUGGAGUGAAUAAGUCUCCACUCCAUUCCGCUUCAUCUUUCUUCAUCUUUCCAUUACUAGCACCUCUGAUUUUAUUUCUGGAGUCACAGUGGCACACAUGGCUCUGAUCCCUUUCCUUAUAUGUCUAUGCUGGAUAGCACUGACAUGUAACUCAGAGGACAUGACUAAAGGAAAUAUGUGGGAUCCUGCUGAAAAUAAUACCUUCAUGCUUAACGUUCCUCUUUCCUGAAAUGUGUGGGAACACCCUCUCCUAACAUCAUGUUGCAAGACUCUCUGCCCCACAAGUCACAUCUGUUGAGGUGUAGUGGGCACAAGCGUGAGCAUUUCUUUAAAUUGUGGGGAGGACUGGGAUAAGUAGAUAUGGGAAUGUUUUCACCAGUAUCCUGUUCUCAUAUGUCAGACAUAGCUCCAGCCUGUAGAUGCCUCAGAUGUUAAUACUUCCAUAAGGUAUACACUACGCCAGUUAUAAUUGCAAAAAUGCUGGGUUCUCAGAGCGUUUUGUAACAACACAGUAUUAAAGAUGUAAAGAAAUCUGCAGAAUAAAUCCUUUAUAGGCCUAUAAUAUGGUAAGAGAAGCAAUGCACAUGUGGGAGUCUUACUAACAUCUGUUAUUUCUGACUUGAAGCAAUGUCAGAGGGUAUAUUUGAAUAAAUGGUAGGAUUUGCUACUUUGCCAAUAGAUUUCUAUGGCUGUGAUUCAUAAACUGCUGGUCUAUACAUAAAUACUUACGCUUAACAUUUAAGUGGAUGAGUCAGAAGACAACAGCAAGACUAUAAGUUGCCUGAUGGAGAAACAUGUAAACUAUUUGGAGUUACCCCAAUAAGUCUGUUUGCCACUUCUCGGGCAGAUGGCUUUGUGAGUGGGCCUCCAGUCCACCACUCAGGCUCUGCUCCCUAGUAGUCAGACAAUUUCUGUUGGCACAGACAAGAAGAGACAGUGACCGGAAAUAUCUGUCUUAUGUUUCAGACUGCAUAAUAAGUCUUCCAGUUUUCAACACUCACAGAUCUGUAGGCGCAGACCAUCCCCCGAUUCAAUAUAGUUUGUUAAGAAAAUUGCCAAACUCGGAUCCACGGGCGACUCUGGGUCAUUUCUCUAUGGUAGUCUAUCUUAAAGUUUUUAUGUGUUUAUAUGCCUACCGCAUUUUUAAAUUUAAAAUCCAUUGUUAUAAAUUGUUUUAAAUGUUUGUUUUGCUUUUGGGAUUGUAGUUCCAUUUGUGUUUCACAAGCUGGUCUCUGACCAUAAUAAAUUUCAUGUUCAUGGUGGGAGGGUGUUCCACACGGCGGGCACCACUACCAAGAAGGCCCUCUGCCUGGUUCCCUGUAACUUCGCUUCUCUCAGUCAGGGAACCGCCAGAAGGCCCUCGGUGCUGGACCUCAGUGUCUGGGCAGAACGAUGGAGUUGGAAACACUCCUUCAGGUAUACUGGACUGAGGCUGUUUAGGGCCUCGGUGCAGUAUAGUGGUACUGUACUGCUAUUCAAGAAUAUUGGCCACAAUCCAGUAACUCCAUGUGUGUACUUAGGUAUGAUUUUACCAAGUUUUUCUAUUCUUUCAAAUAAACAGUUGCCACACAACUGGGUUGAUGUUUUUUCUUUUUCCAUUCAUGACCACAAGAUUUCUUUUCUGGUCUGCUUCACCAGUUCAGUUUAAUUUGAACAAAAUUCUAUACAACACACCCCACCCCCAUACCAAAAAACCCCCACACCUUUCUUGAAAAAUGACUGCGACUAUGGGUCUGGGUUAGUCUAGUUUUAGAAGAUAAUUCAUCCUUUUUUUUAUUUUUACAGUGAACCUUCUUUCUGACAUGGGCUAUGCGGCAGAGGCAUUGCUAAUGACAGGCCUGGGAGAAUAUGAUAAUCAGCUUUUUUGCUACAUUAUGAAGACUUACACAGUCUCUGUGUGUUUUCCCCCUUCAAAGAAUAUGCACAAUAUUCUUUAAAUAUUUUCCCCACUGCUCCUGAAAAUAAAUGACUCUGCCACAAUUUGCAACAGUGCCAUCCAUACUUAAAUGAGAGGUAUUGAACUGCCUGACUUCCUGGCAUAAUUUACAAAGCGUUAAGCUUCAGUGCAUAAAAUAUUCCAUGUUUGUCCUCAGUUUCAGGCAGAAUAAGACAAUUUGCACUGUGGCAUGUUCUUCCACAACUGAAACACAUUUUUUCACAGUGUUAAAUCAUGGUAGCUUACUUGCUUUAUUAUAUACCUUUACAAAGUAUUACCUUCCAUUUAAUUUUGUUAAAUUGUUUCAUCUUGCCCACAAGGAUUUAUCUGUGUUAUGCUUAACACAACACAGAGUUUACCAACUUUGUUCCUGAAGUCUAAUUACAUGCAAAGGUGGCCAGUUUUAUUAUUUUAUUAUUAUUUAGCUCUAGUGAACUGUGACUGAAAAUGAUAACACAGACUAUUAGGUAUGAUCUGAAAAAUAAGCAGGUAAUCUCUCUUAUUAUUAUACCCCUUUUACUGCACGCAUUUCAAAUAUGGUUUAAAAAUGAAUGAAAAUCCUAUUAUAUUUAUUGACAUUUUCUGCAUGAAAUGAGAGGGUUUAAAAAAUAUGACACAAAGCUAUAUUCUGUACCAACAAAGGUGCCUACAAGUUACUUGGAAUGGAGAAAUGAAAUUACUGUGACAGUCCAGUGUAAUAUCAGAACAGCAAUUUAAAGUUACAUUAAAUAUAACUUUAUAUGCUGCAACUUGCUGCUUUUCUGCUUUUCGUAAGAGAUGUCCAAAAAGCAGAGUGCCACCUUUUUAUUGAAUAUGCUCAGACAUCUUUUUAUGCAGCAUACAUGGCACUGCAGUUUAAAUUUUCCUGCAAGUACUUUGCAUAAAUAUUGUCAAAGUGGUUAAAAUUACCUGGGCAAAUAAUUAAAAGCUGGAAUGAAACCAGGUUUUGAUUGAAGUAUUCUGGGUAAUUUGUAUUGAUACAAAAUGUAUGCCAUGCUUAAGCCCCACAUCUUUACAGAAUCAAAGCACCAGAGAAAAUGUAAAGCACUCAGGCUUCAGGCAUCGGAUAAGAUUUAUGAAGGGAAGCGAGUAGGAAGAAAAAAAGGGUAUAACUGAUGGAAAUCAGGCUCAGAAAGAGUCUUUUUUAUCAAUAUGACUGGCUCAAAGCAAAACCAAGAUCAGCAGUUUCCAGAGUUGCAACCAGGUAGACAGUCAUAGGAAACCAGUAAGAGGGACUGGAAAAAGGAAAUUGCAUAGUACUAGAGGAGGGGCAGACUUUGGUAAUCUUUGGUAGUAUGGUGCCCUGAGCGAGGCUAAAAUCUGGUGCCCCUAAUUGGAUCUUCUCAGUUGUAGAUCUUCUCAAUUUUGCACCCCCUCAACUCGGCACCCUAUGUGGGGAAACCACCCACGCUUCCCUAAAUUCAGCACUGACUAGAGAUGGUAUUCUGUCCUGGACAAGGAACUCACAGAACAUGAUUGGCUUAGGCAGUGAGAAAAGCUCCAGGUGAGCAACUUGAUAAACUAUUGUGAUGGUGAAUUAAAGACUUUUAUGCCUCUAAGGCCAGAUCACUCUCUCAAAUGCUAUGCCCUUCAUGCAAAAUAACCUUCAUUGCAAAUGGCGAGUGGUAGUCCUAGCAUAUGGGCCUAGAGGAAAGGACCCACUAGUAUCAAGAAAAGUGAUAUGGUUUUGGACUUCCAUAUUAUCUGAAGGAGUCACCAGGGUCUCAAUAUUCCUCUUAUCCUCCAGCUCUCUUGAUUUACAAACCAUGAUUCCACUUGAAGAUUCUGGUUUUAAACAAGCAGCCAGGUUGAGACACGUGUGUGUGUGUGUGUGUGUGUGUGUGUGUGUGUUAGAGAGUGUUUUGACACUGCACAUUAGAUGAAGCCUUAAGUUUUGUCAAUUGAUGCUUUAUGUAACCUAGACCUAGUUUUUUGAUUCUCCAAAGGAACUGCAUGAAGCAUGGCUGUCUUUACCCUGCAAAGAAUAGGCAUGGGGUGGUGGACAGAGUCAUCUGACUGAUUCUAGAUCUCCUAUAAACUUAUCUAGCUGAAUCUUCAGUCUAAGAACAAGCUGAAUGCUUGAAGAGUGAUGAUCAAAUAAACAUAUGUCUUUGUAAAUAUAGCUAAGAAUUUUAUAUGUCAUACAUACAUGGAUUUUAUAUGGCAUACCCCAUAUAAAAAAACUGGGACAUUCCAUUUUUUAUGCAAGAGCGUGGCACUCGUUUUGCAUAUCGUGAUCUCACACAAUUUUGCACUGAGCUGUCACACCAGAAAACCAGUUUUUUGGGGCCACGAUCUCGUGCAGCGCCCCAAAGCACAUUUUUCAGGUGUCAUGCUCUUGCAUGAGAGCAUGGCCCACAAAAAGUGCUUCUUUGGGCUCUGUGAUUUUGUGCGGGUCAUGUGACUUGCACAGGAGCACUGCCAGGAAGACACACAUCCCAGUUUUGGGACUCAACAUGUCUGAGAUGAGAUAAACAGAAACUACUGCAAUUAAAUGUUGUUCUAAAAAAAAUAUCAAUAUAUCAAUAUGUUUUGUAUUGACAUUAAGGAAUGCUGUCAUCUUUAAUAUUUAAAUAUGUUAAGACAGAAAUUUACUAGUAGAUCAUUGACCUCUAUCUUAGGCAUGAGAAUUGAUUGAUUGAUUGAUUGAUUGAUUGAUUGAUUUGAUUGUCUGUCUUUAUUCUAGAAACUAAAGGGAAUCAGUAUAGCUGUUGCUGUAGAACUGUUGCUGAGGAACUGAAAUGUGUUGACAACUAUUAUAUGGCUACUAAUAUCUAAUAAUUCAGUGUGUCAUCACAUGCUUUCCUUCUUUGUCUGAAAGUAUUUCAGGUGGGAUGGGGUGGUGAAAAGAAAGCUCUGAACCAAAUUUUAAGUUACUGAGAGCACGUUCUGUGGAUCCAGAUUGCAUGCUCAGCAGUGAUAAAAUGACAUACAUAAUAUGGGGAAAAGCUCUUUUCCCCCUUUAAUUUGAUUCAUAAUCCUUAUCAAUUCAAUCAAAUUAAAACCCAUAUUUUUUAUUAAAAGGUGCUAAAACAAGCAAUAUAGGAAUUGUGAUAAAGCUAGGUUUCAAUAUAUAAUAAAAUACACAAGUUUCUGCACAGCAAGAGCAUGGCUUUGUACCACCGCUAUGCUUGGAAAUUUCCAAGUGGGAUAUAAACCCCAGUCCCGUGGAGUUGCUAAAUCACACUUAUUUUGGUUAUUAUAGGGUAUUAGCAGAUGUGUUCUACUUUCUUGUGUCCCCUGCAGUAAUUGUUUGUUGCUUUUAGUAUAUCAGUAGUGUGGAUCGAGAUGGGGGGGGGGAGACACCAAUUUUAUUGUAUGGGCCCAAAAUCAAAGUUUACUACGAAUAAUAUAUUUAUUUUUCUUUUCUACAGUAAGGAAGUUUCUUCUGAGUUAUUGAGAGCUAUUAACAGAGAGUAUAGGCAAAAAGGGAACAAGAAAUCUGCUCAAGAUCUCUGACUUCAUUCUAUUUUCUAAAAGGAUAUUAGAAUUAAAUUGCAGUAGAUCCCCUUCCUUAGCACAGCUGUGCUUCUUGAAGUAUUUUUCCCAAUAUAAACUAUGGUGUUGUGAAGGCACAGGUAGACACAGGAAACCAUUGUCCAUCUAGCUCAGUAAAUGUCUACACGGACUGGUAGAUGCCAGGGUCAAGAAUACAUUGCUCUAACUAACUUGACCGCAAUGAGUUUUUUAGAAUCUGACAUGUCCUGAUCAGUUUAAGGAGUCAUCUCACUGUAUUCAAACCUGGAAAGUUAGUUGACUGCCCUCAGGAUGGAGCUGCAGCUCUGAGGCCACUCUUUCCUUUGUUGCUUGGACUGCUGACCAUGUGUUGGUCCAGAGUACUGGUGAUGCAGGAGUGAAAACACUGUAGACUGGCUAUUGGAGGUCCUGGUUCAAGAUGUUCCCUCCACUGGUACCUUACAUAGGUAUAAUACAACACCCUGGUGUUGUCCCAUACCUGAAUGGAUUUGCCAAUUUGUGGGCCCAUGGCUGCUGAGGAUGAACUUGACAUCUCUAUUCCCAGCUCCCUUUACCUCAAAGAGUUGUUAAACAAUACACAACUUUCAGGCCUCAAACAGCUUUUCAGGUUGCACAAGAAGCUGCAACUGAAAGGCAGCAGCAUAAAAUCUUUAUACUACCAACAGACUUCACUGACCAUAGUGAAGAUCAAACUCAUUUUAUUUAUUUUUGGUCGGUUAGUAAUAAUUUUAAUUUGACCCCUGAUAGACCUUUUCCUUGUUCAUAAGCAGUAUGUGGCAAGUGAGAAAUAUAUCAAUUUUAAAAUUGCAUGUGCUGUUAAACCUUGAAGAAGAUUUAGUUUGGUCUAUCUAUACUUGGAAGAAGCAGUAUUGCAAAAGUUAGCUUUGUGUGUGUGUGUUUUCAUAUCUAAAGCUCUUGUAAUCUUCAACAGCUAUCAUUUAUUUUCUUGUCUAAUCCUGCUAUAGGCCAUUCCCUUUUGCCCAUGAGACUUCCUGUACAAAAAGGCAAAUGCGCUGCAGAAUUUUCUAACCCUUGUGAGAAUGUGUUUGCUAUAAACAUUCCCUUUUCUUGACUUGUCUUCACCUUUUUUUCACCUCUUGGAGUGCAGCAGAAUAAAUCUUAAAUGAAUCUAACUUUUGCCCUUCUAGCCUCAUAGUUGCUGGUCUGUGAGCAACAAAAACAAAACAAAACCUGGCACUAAAUUUAGAGUUGUUUGGACUUGGUGUAUUUAUAUUUAAAACGAAAAAGAUGGGAAGAGAAGCAUUGAAUGAAUGGCUCGGUUGGGGUUGGGGGAGGGGGAGAGACAUACCGCAUUCCACUAGAGGGUUGUUUUUGUUUUCCCUCCUGGUUUCUGAGUGCCUUACCCUCUUAUUUUUCUUCAUUAUUUUCUUGUUUGCCUUUUUAUUUUGUUGCACACCAGAGGUCUGUGCUUUUGAUACCAGAUAGCAUUCUCCUAAAGCAGAAACUAUUGCAAAAGUGUAGCGUAUGAUGGAGAAUACUGACAGGCCAUGCUGCAUAUUCAGCCUUCUCUUAUGAAGUAAAGCUCUCCUUUCUUUUUUAGUCAAUAAGUCCAUAGUGUAGCACAAAGAAUCUAGAUAAUGCAGCAUUCUACCUAAUUGAGUAGCUGUGAUGGAUUGCUUAUAUUCUUAUGGUACAAGCUGCUUGAGGCAAGGUCUGCUUCAGAGCCACCACUGGUGUCUGAUAGUGAUGCCCUAGCAGUACUGCUAAGCAUAGUGUUUACCCUCAUGAGUCAACCUAGCCUGGCAAGCAUUCUGUUAUCCCUCCUCUUUAAUGGAAAUUACCUUUCUAGAUAUUCUUUGUUCAGUUCCCGUUCUGGAUAUUCUAUUUCAUGGGUAGGCAAACUAAGGCCUGGGGGCUGGAUCUGGCCAAAUCCCCCUCAAAAUCCGGCCCACGGACGGUCCAGGAAUCAGCGUUUUUACAUUAGUAGAAUGUUUCCUUUUAUUUAAAAUGCAUCUCUAGGUUAUUUGUGGGGCCUGCCUGGUGUUUUUACAUGAGUAGAAUGUGUGCUUUUAUUUAAAAUGCAUCUCUGGGUUAUUUGUGGGGCAUAGGAAUUCGUUUGCCCCCCCCCCCAAAAAAAAAUAGUCAGGCCCCCCACAAGGUCUGAGGGACAGUGGACCGGCCCCCUGCUGAAAAAGUUCGAUGACCCCUGUCUAUUUUUCUUAAAUGAAUCGCUUUGUGAAAGCGAUUACAGUGGUACCUCUAGUUGCGGAUGGAUCCGUUCUGGAGGUCCAGUGGAAUCCCGAGGUUUCUGCAACUUGAGAACCGCUUCCGCAAAUGCACACACAGCAAACCUGGUAAAAUACUUCCGGGUUUGCCGUUUUCGCAUCCCGAAGUUUACGUAACCACAGGGUUACAUAACCGGAGGUACAGUGGUACCUUGGGUUACAUACACUUCAGGUUUCAUACACUUCAGGUUACAGUCUCUGCUAACCCAGAAAUAGUACCUUGGGUUAAUAACUUUGCUUCAGGAUGAGAACAGAAAUUGUGCUCCGGCGGCGCGGCAGCAGCAGGAGGCCCCAUUAGCUACUGUAAUUCCUUUAUUCUGUGCUGCUAUAAAUCACCACAUACAGCAUGCUGAUGUUGAUGGGGUGUGGGGGCCUCUUCUUUUGGUAGUCAUCUGGCAUGUUAUAGAGUGGUUUUUGCCUGUCACAGGAGAAAUACGUUGUUUUUUGUUCUUGUUGAGGAUUGUAUUUCCUUGGGGAAUAACCUGCUGGGUAGUGGUAGGCGGUGCUAAAACCAAAGAUGAGCAGAGCCAGAGAAAACAGCACUUGUGGAUUAAUUAAUCUGAAAUGAAAUCUGUGUGCCUUAAUUUUCUCCAUGACUAUCUCAGAUUAGAAUUCAUAAUUUGAUUCAGAUGUACUCAGAAGUAAGUCCCAAUAACCCAGAAAUAGUACCUCGGGUUAAGAACUUCGCUUCAGGAUAAGAACAGAAGUCAUGUUCCGGCAGUGCGGCGGCAGCAGGAGGCCCCAUUAGCUAAAGUGGUGCUUCAGGUUAAGAACAGUUUCAGGUUAAGAAUGGACCUCCGGAACAAAUUACGUACUUAACCCGAGGUACCACUGUAAAUGCAAUUUCUAAUCUACAUUUUAACUAACUUGAUUAGAAAAAGGGAACCACUUGCAUUGCCAGGCUUCUUUACAAUCUUCUUGGGUCAAAAUGGCUACCCAACAACAAACCACAAUCAGUUCCAUCUAGUAUCUGAAGUGAUGCUAGAUGUUGAGAUAAAACAAAUGGAGUCUCUGCAGGUGUGGUUUUCCCUCCACUGGAAAUUUCUGCAAUUAAAGCAGAAAACAGAUGAACUUCAGAAAAAUGGUGGCAUGCCAAACAUCUCAUUCUAUGUGGGCAUCUUCAGAUAAUACUUACUCUAUUCUCAUAACUCUGUAUGUAAGGUGAGAUCAAGCACAAUUCUUAGGGUGGUUGACUCCCCUUCAUUAAGUGUCCAAAUUGGGAAGAACAAUGUUUAUUUGAAUAUGGCAUCUCCCUGGCCUCAUAAGCUCAAUCCUUCCUACAUUUCUGUUGGUAGGGUUGGGGUGAUCUUAUUUUCAAAUGAAACUGAUACUUCAGAUAUUACCUUCAUAUUGUGAGAUGGACUGUUAGUAGAGUUGUGCAGAAUGCACAUGCCUAAAACCCACUCCCGAUCUCACUAUCUCACUCCCGAUCUCACCUGUAUCUUCGUCUGUGAAUGAGAGAGAUUAAGAGAGAUUUGUGUGGAACCCAUGGAUAUUGAGAAGAGAACUGCAUGUCUAGACUAGUGUUAUGUGGUACGAACUGUAUCAAACUGUUAAAAGUCCAGCCACUAGUAUUUGGAUGGCCAACUUCCUCAAUAAUAUUAUCUAAUGGAGUUCCAGGAUGGAUAUGUGAAUUGUAUUUUCCCAGUUCUCACAGUGCUCUCUAUUCAGCUAGUUCAUUUGUCACUCAUAGCAGUUCCUCAGAUAACAAGAAACAGUGGUCAUUAAAAAUAAAGAUUUGAUCAACGGUACUGAUACUAUCACAACAUAGUCCCUUAAACUAUCUAUGCUUUUAUCAAUGCCCGUGUACAGAAAAAGAGGCUAAAUUCAUUUUUAAAAAUGAUUGCUGCAAUCAGCUUACAUGUACAGAAAGAGAGGCUAAAUUCAUUAUAUAAAUUAUUCCUUGUGAACUUGUUAACCUUUUCUAGGUAUGUGCCAUCUUCAGAGACAUUCACAAGCAUUCAUACAUGAAGAAUCUCAAUGAAGUAUGAAACGGCAAAGAAUAAUUCUGUGUAGGUAGCAUACCCUUAAUGCAUUGCAGGUGCUAUAAAAAAGACAGCUUACAUUUUCCUCGUGUCUCAGUGCCUUAAAUGUUAUGGUACAAUGAGCCAGUUAGCUAGCUCUUUGCCCUUGUAGAUUGUAUUUAAACUGACUACACUGACAACCUUCCACAGACAGCCCUGUUAAAAUUGAUGCUGCCAAGUAAACAGCUGUUUGGGUGGUUUUUAAUGUAGAUUUCACCCAAUUACUAACAAGAAACUGUCUGCUAGCCUGCUGAAAGCCGUUCUAGUGCUUGAAUAUGAACGUAUCUAAUCUGUUUCAAAGAGCAUAAGGGACAGCAAAAGAACAUUUAGAUCUGGUCUUUGGAGGAGCAACUUUUUUCAAUUUGUGCAUUUCAAGGCUAAAGUAAAACUUUGCUUUGCCUGCAAUGAUUAACUUCAUACUUUCAUGGCAUGUAGGCACCAGAUUUUGAAACCAAUAGGAGGGGAUUUAUUUAUUUAUUUUUUAAAAUGAAAGAUACAAGGAAGUACAAAAAGGGGAGGGAGGGAAAACAUAAGCCAGGCAGGACCUAGGAAGUGGUGGUUCCUAAGCUAUGGAGAAUCUCUGCCAAGAAAAUCAGUAGUGCCUAUAGCCUGCCAAUAGUCCCAGUUUUUAUCCAUAUCAGUUUACUUUAAGUUCCAUUUUAUAUUUGAUAUGCUAAUGAACCCUCAUUUCAAUAAAACUAUACUAUUCAGUUCUUAUACGGAUAUACAGGGUCUCGGGAGACAAUGGAAGAGUGUGCCUUCAGGGAUGAAGUCAAACAGGAGUUACAGCACCUGAUGUUGUUGUAGAGACUGAUAUGGGAGAGACAUGUUUUGCUGCAGAGGUUGUGGGGCAGAUAAAGACAUACACUUGUGCUGAUGCAGGUGUACCAUGGCAUUUCUUCUUCCUGUACUCCUCACAGCGGUUCUUUUUCCGCCUGCCACUGUUGUGGAUACACAACCUGUCUCUAGGUGCUGCGGUCAUCUGCAAUGGAUUUGUAAGUCAGUUACCUUUAUAGUUGUCCAAAGCUUUCCAUUCUCUAUUUGGUGGGUGCCUUGUUUUCAUGGUGAAAUUAGCAAUUAAUACUAGCUACCUGACAGUUUAGUUGCAUUCCCAGAUAAAAUUUGAUGUACCGUGGACAUCCUCAGUAACUUUUCUUCCCCUUUUGCCAUGUUAUCUUACCCAGCAUGUAUAGGGAAUACAGUAAAGGAUUAACAUUGUUAAGAGUUUUUAAGCCCUUUGUAUCUGACUUGCUCUGAGCACCUCAGGCAGAAACAGGAACCCUUUACUUAACUACCUUUCCCUCCAUACUGUUACUUUAUAAAUUCAAACUCGGAACUCUAUACAUUUAGCAGCAUAGGGAUUCUUUUAUGACUAACAAGCUUGGUGGCCUGAGCAAAUCUGACUCCAGUUUAACAUUCAUUCUUGAUCUGGGAAUUGGAUCUGAAUUUACUGGCUUUUAAAUGUAUUAAAUACUGCUUUCUCUGCUCCUGUAUUAUGAGACAGAAUGAAACAAUGGCACUGACCAGUUGCCCUUCAUAAUUUAGAAUACAUUAACAAAGUUCCCUUGAUACUAUUCACUUUUCCAGCCUAUAUUAAGAUGCAAUUCCUACUACACCGCUACCCCAUCUCAUUGCCCUGUAGUGGGUUUUGAAAUUAAAGCAUUGUGUUGCAAAACUAAUUUUCUCCCUAAGGCAGUGUGCAUUAUUAUAGACCUAAUCCAAUCUUAGUGCAGAAUACUUUCUCCAUUUAUGACUGGUACAAUAAAGGUCCGUGGAGACUCUGUUCCCUGAGUCCUACCAUCAGCUGAUUCCUCCCCUCCUUUCAUCUAAGUAAUAAUUACACUGAUUAGAAUAAUUUCAAUGGGUUUUUUCAAAAAAAGAAGUGAUGUGGAGAGUGAAAUGACAUUUUACACCUUUACUAAAAUCUACAAUCAUGUUUUUAUUGCGGAGAUUCUUCACAGGUUCAUAGGAAUUGAGUAUAAACUGAGUCCUUCAAAUCCAUAGGAGCUUCUGCCACCAAUAUCCUACCCUGGGGAUUCCAAUUCCUUUAUAGCAAGAGUAUCAGAUCGCCAUAAAAUCUGUCCUCUGGUCUCUACUCAUUCUUCCUAUGAUCAAGUCUGCUGAAGAAAGAAAUCCCAGAAUCAUAUGCUCCCCUGACAGCUUAGAGAUGGGAUUUGUGUUGCAUGUGUGUGUUUGUCCCCAACAAUUUGUCCUAUAUAUUAGCAUAUCCCCUCCUCAGCCACAUAUGCACCAACAUCUCCUUUUUAGUUACAUGUGUACCUGAUCAUACAUUCAUUACAUUCAUAUGAUUGUAGAAUGUUAAGGAGAAAUGGCUCCUAAUAUAGAUUUUCCUAAGCAUGUCAUCAGGUUGCAGUUCACAGGGCUGCCAACAGGUGGUGGUGCAAACUACAGUGUGACAGCAAACUGGGAUCUCAAAGCCACUGAGUCAUCACAGCAGAGUAAGGAGAAGGGAACCAGAGGGCAACUCAGUGCCAGUGAGCAUUUUGUAGCUGAGGCCAGCAAAAAUGUGAGUGGGUAUCCCAGGCUGGCAAGCAAAUUGCCGGGUCACCCAGGCAGAUUAGUGUCUUUGGCCAGCAAGUGAAGGUGCAGAGGGAUAGCUUUGGUGAGGUGCAAAGGGAAGAGGGUAGCAUUGGCAAGGAAUAUGGGGAUGGGGUGGCUAUGGAGAGGGGUUAAAGGGAUGGGUGGGUGGGUGGCUUUGAUAAGGAGGUAGGUGAGAGCAAGGGUGCAGCCUCUAGUAUUGAGAGGCCUUGGGAAUCAUAACUCUCAUAUUUCUGUAUCCAAACAGUUUAUCUUUCCUGAAGAGAUGUCAGGAUCCAGUGUGCUUGAAGAAGGGCCAGAUACUGUAUAUUGUUGAGAGAGAGCAAUUCCAUCUUUAUUAUUCUAUUUUGAGCUCUGUUUUGAAUCUCUGAUCAUCAAGUUAUUAAUCAGUUAAUCACACCAAUAGCAUUCACGUGCCCAAUUGUAACAGUAGCUAUAAGGACAUAAUUACAUUUACAUAUGAAUAGUGGUGGGUUGUUGUUGUUUUUUAAAGCCUGCCUUAUUUUUAAUACUACAUCAGAAGUACUGCAUUUUAUCCCCAAAAGAACUCAGCAUGGGGCUCAUCCUAAAAAAUUCUUUUGAUGACAUUAAUUAAAGAAAGGGAAAGUACUUAUACAUAAAAGCCAGGAGCAAUACAGGUCUGAAAGCUAAUUCUGCUUGACUUGAGCUGGUAUGCAGCUUUCAAGAUCAAGAUCUAGGUGUUCGGUUUGACGCCACGUAUUAUUUCUAUUAUUUAGAUCAAAUUACACAUUAGAGCUUUUUCCUACUGAUAAUUAAGUCAUAUAUACAUGCUAAUUAUUAUCAUUCUGCUCUUUUAUGUGCCUGUAAGGCAGGAUGGGUGCAUUGAUUAAUGUUAGCUGUCAUUUUAAAAAAUCUAAAUUUGCAUUCGUUAAUCAAAACCUCUGAACAUUAAGGUUACAGUUGGAUAGGACGUUGGUCUACCACAAGAUAGAUUGAGACAAAAAGGAUGCUCUGCACGAGUAUUACUGUGUUUUUCAUUUCAGCAAAGUUUGUACAAGAGAAUUUCCAGGUGAUUAAUGCCCUAGAUAAGUGUCAGUGAGAGGGCUGUUGCAAGUGUGUGGCAGGGGCCAGAGGCCAGGGAAUUAACCCAGGAGAGGGGGCCCAGCAAUUUAUGGGAUUUGGUGAUGCCUGCAAGGCAGGAGCCAGGGCAAGAGGAAGUGGAAUGUUCAGAGCCAGGGUGUGCAGCUUGUGCACCUGGAGGAAGUUCAGGUGAGGGCCAGUCAAAUACCUGCCAUCCCCUGCCCCACUGUCUCCUAGAACCAGGACAGGCUUGCAGAGGGAAAAGCAGCAAUGGCUUCCAUGUAGGAAACGCCUCAAGUUGCGCACAUGCACCCCAUCAGAUGAGAGUACAUUAGUUGGUGCAUGGGGCUUGUCCCGCUGUUACUGCAACUGCUCUGCAGGACACUGACCAGAGGACAGCUGCCAAGAGGGUAGCAACAUUUGUGCAUGAGUAUCUGGGAACACCAUGAGAGUUGCUGUAAUUGUGUGAUUUUUCUCAAUAAAUAAUUAUCAGACCUGUGCCUUCCUUGGCUGGGGAUGCCUAAGACAAUAAGCCAAAAUGUAGAGGGCUGACUUAAAGUGGAAUUUUCUUUCAUAAAGUAAGUUUUAUGUUUAGCACUACUUAGUAAGUGGAAGUGGACACACACAAUUUGACAGGAACUCUGUACUGUUUUCAUAUUUAAUUGUGAAUAUGUGCGAAGCAGAUUUAGGGAGGGAGAAAGCAGAGUAGCUGUAACAUGGAAAGUGCUUUGAGAAAUCCAUUUCCCCCACAGUUCUAGUGUUUACAUUUUUGUUACUAAAUUAUAAGGACCUGAUCUUCAUGGUUCCUCAACAUCCUGGAAAAAAGUGACAAGUGGGGUGCCACAGGGUUCUGUCCUGGGCUCAUUGUUAUUCAACAUCUUUAUAUAUGACCUGAAUGAAGGAAUUGAGGGGAUACUCUUCAAAUUUGCAGAUAACACCAAGCUGGGAGAGGUAGCUAAUAUUGCAGAAGACAGAAUCGGGAUUCAAAUUGAUCUUAACACAUUGGAGACCAGAUUGGGCCAAAACUAACAAAAGAGGGACAAAUUUUAGGUUCUUCACUUAGGCAGGAAGAACCAGCUGCACAAAUAUAAGAUGGGGAACAUCUGGCUUUGUGUACAUGUGAAAAGGAUCUAGGGGUCUUAAUAGACCACAAGCUUAACAUGAAUAAACAGUGUGAUGCAGCAGCAACAGAAGGGAAGUAAUAGUACCUCCCUCUUCUGCCUUAGUCAGACCACACCUGAAGUUCUGUGUCCAGUUCUGGGCACCACAAUUUACGAAGGAUAGAUAUUGACAAGCUGGAAUGAGUGUGGAGGAAGGCAAGCAAGAUUAUCAAAGGUCUGGAAACCAAGACUUAUGAGGAACUGUUGAGGGAGUUGGUAUGUUUAGCCUGACUAAGAGGAGACAGAGAGGAGAUAUUAUAACCAAAUAUCUAUAAGGAGAAUGGAACAAGCUUGUUUUCUCCUGGCCCGGAGGGUUGGAACCAAACCAAUGGUUUCCAGUUACAAGAAAGAUAAUUAUGACUAAACAUUAGGAAGAACUUUCUGACGGUAAGAGCUGUUUGACAGCAGAAUGGCCUCCCUAAGAAGGUGGUUGGUUCUGCUUGAAUGGAGGUUUUUAAUAAUAAUAAUAAGAUUUUAUUAUUUAUACUCUGCCCAUCUGGCUGGGCUUCCCCAGCCACUCUGGGUGGCUUCCAACCAAAUAUUAAAAUACAGUAAUACAUCAAACAUUAAAAGCUUCGCUGCCUUCAGAUGUCUUCUAAAAGUUUGGUAGUUGUUGUUCUCUUUGACAUCUGGUGGGAGGGCGUUCCACAGGGUGGGUGCCACUACCGAGAAGGCCUUCUGCCUGGUUCCCUGUAACUUGGCUUCUCGCAAUGAGGGAACCCUUGGCAGAAGGCCCUCGGCAUAAGUUGGAUGGCUUGGACACUUUAGUCGAGAUUCCAGCAUUGUAGUGGGUUGGACUACAUGACCCUCAGGAUCCUUUCCAUAUCUACCAUAUCUACCAUAUCUUCCAUAUCAAUGAUUCUAUUAUUCUGUUCUCCUUUUUUUAUUAACUUUAAUUCAGUGUAAUAAUACUAACAUAAAAAAUAUAUAUAGUCAGAUUUCUUUGGAGAAAUGUUGGUUGGCACCAUUCUCAGAACAGAUUUACACAGGAAUCAAGUAUUCUUUGGUGGGAAUACUUUGUUGUAUGGGGAUACUUCAUUGCAUCACUGGGUCCCAUGCUAGAGAAGGAUGUGAUAAGGGCACAUUUCUGCAGCCAUUUCUGCCCACACUUAGAAAGCACACAACUGUCUAUAGUCUUAGGGGUGGGGUAGGGGAAAAGUAGUGAGUCUAAUAUGCCAAGCAAAAAUAUUUUUAAAUCACUGUAAGUUAUUUUGUGGGUAGUGCUGGAAUCAGAUUUGUAGAUGGAGCUGAUCUUGUUUUUCAAUAAAAUACAAGGGAGGAGAUUUACAGCAAGAAUUACUGCAGAGAUGACAAAUACUGUGAGAUCACUUUGGGGCUUUAGUAAGGCUCUGCUGCAGGGAGCAUGUACAUGUAUUGAAAUCUUGCUGUAAUCAGACAGUAGCUGAGCACAUGAUUGCAGAGCAAAAGAAUAAAGAAAAAGCAGGAAAGUGCCUCUGUUUAAUUUGCCCAUGUAAGACCUACAUAAAAUCUUUAUGGAGUUUUGAAAAUUUUGGAGGAACUGUUUAUAGCAGUCGUUGGAUUUUGUACAUUAAUUGUAAAAUCCAUUUUUAUGUGUUAAACUGUUUCUGUGAGAUAACACUGCCAGUUGUUUCUUCAUUGUCCUCUUAUGAACACAACAGAAAUAGGUUUAGAGAUGUUUUUGUGAACCAGCUGUAUCCAUCAGUUUGGCCAUUCAAGUUAACCCUUUCCCCUGUAACUUUCAUGGCAGCUGUUCACAAAGGUCAGGUAGCAGAGCCGAUAACUUUUCUUCAUUGGUUGUGGCAGGGUUUUGUUGGGUUACAAGACAAGCUUCAAUGUACUCACACAGCAAUAAUCUAAAUAUAAAUUCACAAUGUCAGGCUUUAUUAUAUUUAAGUGUUAGAAAUUGCAAGUUAGAAUUCUAAUAAAACUCUGCUCUUUUCAGUCUCUGUAUCCAUCCCACCUGCAACACAUUUUCUAAUAAUUGCCCUCAAUUAAUCCUAUUAUGCAAGCUUAAUUUUUGCCAACUGAGAGCCUCUUCACACAAUGCAAUUUUCACACAUAAGUCAAUUCAAUGAGAAAAAUCAUGCAUGCCCACUCGGACAUCACAAAUGGGUGUGCUUGGCUUGGGAUUCUUUUUACAUGACACAGCUGCAUUGAGUGAGUCAUCUGAAGUUAUUUGCUACUCUGGCAGCAUAUUGUGUUGCAGAUCCUUAACUAUGGCACAGUACAAUUUUCUGUGAGUAGUUGUUACAAUGUGCUCUGACUUUUUCAAAGGAUCAGGAUAAAUGGCCUAUGUAUGAUUCAAAUCUCCAGGAGUCUAUAAUUUGGAAAUCUAGAGCAUCAGGAUAUAUAUGCAAUAUAAAUGCUUGCAGAGUUAUUGAAAAUCUACUUAGUAUAUUUUUGAAACUGGGAAUUCUGUUAGCUUUCUCUUACAUGAAACAUAAAAUAAGGAAGGGGUUUUUUUACCUGUUACAGAAGUACUUCAUAUAUUUAUCAAUGAUAGGAAAGUACUUUAUUUUCAAAUUUACUGAAAUAUGCGCAGUAUUGUGCCUAUAUUUACUGUAUUAUUAUUAUAUUUACAGUGCAUAUCUGCUAUACAUAUAUGCUCAGAACAUUGUUAUGGCUAGUGGCUGAUGCAAACAAAGUGUCUUCUAUCUACGUAGAAGUAAUCCUUAGCUUGCAAUCCUAAAGUCACUUAAUUGGUGAAAGUAAGUUCCAUUGAACUCAAUAUGACUAACCUGAAUAUAGGAUUACACUAUUAUACAAUUGUGAUUGUAGAAUAGUUUAGCCAAUCUGCAACAAACAAACAAGCAAUCCAAGCUAUGUUAUGUACGUGUCUAAAAGGGAAUACAUUUUUGUUGCAAAAUGUCAGUGUGUGCCAAAGUGUUUUGUUUUCCUUGAAUCGUAAGUGUACAUCUUCAGUCUGGUUUUUCAUAUUAUUAAUUCUCUCAGCACCUUUCUACUAAAUCCUUGGAAAUUACCAGUGAACUUUGGGCUAGAAACUCUAUCUUCUGUCCCGCUAAUCUAACCCCUAGAGCCAGUGCUAUAUCAACAUCAUUCUCAGUUGCAUUAAGUAGCCCAUCCUUUUUUCACACAUGUCUCAUUUAGGCCAACAGAGAUAAAAUGGAAAUUCUGUUUUAUGCCCCAUAGUGUGGUCCACAUGGGAAAUGAAGAGUUGAUAAGCGUACAUUCAGUUCACUUACUUAAGUGAUAAUUAAAACAGGAGAAACAAAACACAGAAGGAGCCAUGGAAUGAAAUUGUCAGUCUGAAAAUCCAGACAGAAUUGCAUAUAGAUAGUUCACAAGAACCUUGAUAGCAGACCCAUCUCUGCUCUCUUGGGUUUAAUUUGGAACUGGAAGGAAAAAGAGGAAAUCUUGCACUACUACCAAUUAGGUUAAUAUGGUUUGGAGACUUCACUUACAAUCACCAACUUUGAGGAGAAAACUUCAUGUGGCAGUGUUUGCAAUAGUUAGAGCGUUGUUGUUGUUGUUGUUUUGUUGAUGGUGAUAUUGUUUUGUUGUUACUUUAAGAUUAUUUAGAUGUUUAGAAAAAAGUAGUUUGCUUCUAUAAAACUGAAAGUUCAUCGUAAUGAAUACAGGAGGUGGGGUCUCUUAAAAUGCCCUAAAACUUAGAAGUACCCAGCCUGGGGGUUGCUCCUCAGUUAGUCCAAACAAACAUUUAGUACAUGUUUACCCAGGAAAAAUGUUUAUUGCCGUACGUGACGCAUAAUGCGGAGUGUCAUUUUUUGGCAAGGUCUUCAUCUCCAAAAGAUAGAUAAUAGGUAGUAGACCUGCAACAUUCAUAUGGUUUUGCAUGCGAUCACAAUUUAUAUAAAAGGACAAGCUCAGCCAUGCAAAAAUAUUAAGCAACCUGCUUAAAGCAGCGCCAGCAAGGAGACAAGACAAGAUGUAGAAUGUUUUGUGUGAUCAUGCACAUCUCCAGUACAGAGUCCUCUGUGUGCUGCUAUACCAGCUGCCAUAGCAGCACAUCCAGCCCAUGCUUCAUUUGGACACAAUGUACUCUCAAGCAUAGUACCCCAUUCUUAUACUAUCCAAUGUACACAGAAAUGAAUGAGAAACUGGGGUCUUGCACCCUACAAUAAACUUUGGACUACCCCAAUUCAUAUACCCAAAUCUCCAGAAAAAUAGCCUCUAUUAAAUGUCAGAGCAAUUUAAGUCAACCUUGCUACUCACUUAAAACUUUUAAAAUCUGCAAUAUUGCAUCAAUACCUUCUCGGCAAUCAUGAGGCAAGUAAAACACUAUUUGCAAUUUUGAACUGUUGUUAUAAAUGUUCCAUUAUUAUUAAUAAUAAUUAUGUCAUCAAAAUCUUUACAAGGCAGUGUCAGAAAAGAGUGGAAAUGCUGUCUUGGCAGCUAAAGUUGUCUAGACAUGCCAGGACAACUGUAACAGCGGCAUUCUAAUAUAAAAGAAUUACCGAGCCUCCCUGCACAACUUCCUGAAGAGACAGCCAGAAAGCCACAUGCUGCUACUAUAAGAAUACCUUCUCCCUUGCUGAAAAAUAGUCUGAUGAAGUAGCAAUUACGAAUAGCAGGGAAGGUAUUGUGUACCUGCAUGCUUGGACAUUUUCUAUUUUGUCCCUUUGUAAAUGCACAGAAAACAUAAUGAGGCAUGGACAGCUUUUUAUGCAUUGAUUCCAUGGCUUGAAUCCAGUAGCCUGAUAUACCUUCAGGUAUAUGUUGGGGUGGGGGGAACAGUUUCUGCUUUUCUCUUGUGUAUUUUCCCCUCAUUUAUUUUAGCACCAUUCUUCCACUAUGUUCAUCUAUAAAACCAACUUAUACAAUUAUUUAAUUUAAUUAUGGAAACAAUACUUUUUAUCACCUUACUGUGGAUGCAAGUGCCACUUGAUUCCAGCAGUAAUGAUUUCUUCUUUUUGUAUUUGUCAAGGUCUGUAUAAAUGGGGAGAAAGAAAAUUAAAAGCAAGAAAUCUGGGCAAGAGUGCCUUUUUUUAUUAAUGCACUUUUGUAUAGAAUUCGAGUUCUGUGACUGAAUCUUUCAUAAAGCUACUCCAAGGACAGAAAGAUUGAUCUAGAUGCAUCAUUUGUAGCUUAAUGAGUCCACUAGAUUUAUUGAUCAGGACCACAUAGCCACUUGCUCAAUAUAGGCACCAUCCAGCUUUUCAUCCUGCAGAGUAGCAGAGUCACUAGCCACAUAUGGACAUUCAAAUAACGUGUAGGGGAAUAAAGCACGUGCCGUACCCUACCCUCAAUAUCUCAGUGCAUGUCAAGACCACCAGCUCCACUCAUUGAUAUUUCUGCAUUUACCAGGUCAGUUUGAAGGGGGGUUCUAGGCACUUUUGAUGGAAUGUGCAUAGAAGCACCCCUGAGGCUGGCAAUCCAAUGAGAUAAUGAUUCCCAGUCACAGAUAGGACUCUUAACCACAUUCAUCUGAAUGCACAAAGGAUCCCCCUUCAUAUCUUCCACCCAGUGUGGAGGUCUGCAGUGUGUAUUGCAAAGGAUUGGAUUAGAUAACCCUCAGGGUCCCUUCCAGUUCUACAGAUCUAUGAGGCUGUAGCUGAAGGAGAUGUGAGGCAAACAUGUGUUUCCCCAACUUCUCCCCCAACAUACUUUCAGGUGAAUGCCUGAAUAGGACUACCAAUGUGCAAACUAUGCUCAGCAGUCCCAAAGAUAACAGUAAUGGCAAUGUAGGAAGCUGCCUUAUACUAAGUCAAACCAUUAGUCCCUUUAGCUUAGUGUUAUCUACACUGGCUGGCAGCAGCUCUCCAGGAAAUUUUGCCUUGGAUAUAUCGCUAUUUCAUGAUUUCUCUCUUGUCGCCUUUUGAACUCUUGCAACUUUUUCAUACAAAAUCAUUUCUGUUGUCUGUCCCCCUACCAUAUUUUUUUCACUGGUUCAUGAUGGCCCCAGUCCUGUGAGAUGUGAUAGUUACAGGAUUCUGCUAAAAGGUAAAGGUAAAGGACCCCUGACAGUUAAGUCCAGUCAUGAAUGACUCUGGGGUUGCGGCGCUCAUCUUGCUUUACUGGCCGAGGGAGCCGAUGUUUGUCUGCAGAAAGUUUUUCCGGGUCAUGUGGCCAGCAUGACUAAGCCGCUUCUGGCAAAAGCAGAGCAGCGCACAAAAACGCCAACCUCCUUCUAAAACCUCUUGUUUUAUCAGCUAAUUUUAAACUUAAAAGCUACGUAUAAAAGUAUUAUCUGCUAUUCUUCUUAGGUGCAAUCAUUAUUACUUUUUUAAAGAAAUAGAACAUGGCAAGAGAAACGAAAGAUUCCACUUUAUAUAGCUGCCAAUCACUCACACUUAUAAUGAGGUUAAGUCAUGCAUUGUCUGGUAUAGCUACCGUUAAUCACUAUCUGUGCUUAAUACGUGCAUUUAGUAGAGAAUAAAGUUAAUGUGUCUUUGAAGGCAAAAUGCAAGUGGAAUAAUUUUUUGUGGAUAGCAUCUGAAUAUAGAUCUUCAUGUAGAACUGCAAUAUAUUUAUUUUAUUUGACACUAUAUACCACUUGAUUGUAAGAAAACUUUUAAGCAGUUUAUAUAAAAUAUAUAAAAACAUUAAAAUUCUUAAUGAAAACAGCAAAAUAUAUAUUCUAAAUAUAUUCAAAAGAUGAUUAAAGAGAGAUAAGACACAUGUAACUUCUACAUGUUUGGAUAGACUUGCUUAAAUGAAAAUAUUCUAAGGAGGUGUCAAGGUGAAGGUGCCUGCCUGAUUUCAAUAAGCAGGGAGCUGCCACACUAAAACAUCAAUUUCUUAUAACAGAGGAACAGUUAUUAUAUGGGACCUGUAAUACUGCCAGGUCCACAGAUCAAAGCAGUCAAGUGAGUAAAUAUGGGGUAAGGCAAUCAUUCAAGUAAACAGCACCCAAGUUCCAAAUUCAAAAGUGCUUAAAGAUCUAACUUUCAAAUGUCAUUAUAAAUCAUUGCUUCAUAAUGUGUUGAAUAUGAACAAAUUUGACAUUAUAGUUGAGAUCCUAAAAAUUCUUAACAUGGAAGUCUCACUGAAAUGAGUUUGCUUCCCUUCCCUUCCCUUCCCUUCCCUUCCCUUCUGCACUAGGUUUCCAAGGCCCAAGUUAUACACGGGGUGAAAGAUGUUGACAUAUGCACAUUGUGGUUUAUCUUGUGUCCUUAAGAAUUCCAUAUACUCUGCUUUCCUCUUUUGCAGUGUCACACACACAUUACACUCAAACACACAAUACUGUAUUUGUGCACGUAAAAACCCAGUAAAUAGCAGCUGCCUAUUUUUUGCCAGUAUCCACAGCUGUGUUGUGCACUGUCUAUUCUACAGUAACAGGGAAUGAUUUAUUUUAUGUGUCUUUUAUAGUAUAGUUAAAUCACUUACUGAAAUAAAAGUCUACUUUGCAGUGAGUCAGCAUUGCUUCUAGAUAAAUUUGUUAUUAGUAAGUAACACAACAAAACAAAACAAAACAUAACAAAAGACCAUUGUACUGCCUGCUGGUAUGGAAUACUGAUAGUUUACUGUAAUCCCCAUAUGAAUUCUGAAAUAUUGAUGUACUGUAGCAACUACAGAAGAGCCUAGGGUUAUUACAGCAUGAUCCACCUGUGUGCUACAAGUAUGAUAACUUUCCAAAAUAACAAAGGGCAGAACGGAACCUGAUGUACUUGAAAGCCUGUUCAGAAUUUCAAAUAUAGGAAUUCUAGAGAAUGAAAAAGGGAAAACUUUAUUAAGUCAUCUUGUGCAGCCCCCUGUUAGUGUGGGAUUGUAUAUUAUACCUUUAUGCUGUAUUUUUGUAGGUUUCCCUGAAGAAGUUUUUGAUAUGAGUAAUAGAGGGGGAGUCAUUUUUACAGAAUUUUACAACUAGACUGUUGGCAGGUGAUAGCAGCAGCAGCCCUGAGAAUCACUGCAAGAUAGUUUAUGUGAUAGUUUAUUUUGGUACUGUCUAAACUUCUCAUCACAGAUAUAGAUGGUAUCUAUUCUCUCUCUCACUCACACUCUCUCACACACACCAUUGUUUAUAUGAUGACAGUAUAACAUCUUAUCCAAACAUAAUUAAAGGCAAAUAUUACAGACAGCAUUGUAGAAAUCAAAGCGUUAGAACAUGUAAGAAACAAUUACAAAUCUCAUGUUCUCUAGCACUAUGCAUUCCUUGCCAUUCCAUUGCCCUUUAUAAUUAAUUGUAUAAGUAAUGGAAUGAUGGACAUAAACCUGGGAGACUUGAAUUUAAUUCUCAUUUCAGCCGUAUGGGAUGACAGGGUAGGCCAGUGUCUUAUCAGAUUUCCAUAGAGAGGGAAUAAUAGUAAUCUGCCUUUCAAGGAAGAUGAUAAAGAUAAAAUCCUAUGUAAAGGACAAACAUAUAAAGUCAUUAUUCUGAAUGAAUAAGAAAAUGAAUAAGAAAAGGCACACAAUUUCCACAGAGGUUUAUGCUUUAUGUCUGAUCACUGGGUUUUACAUACACUCAACCAAAAUGAUAAGCUGCACGUGCUUAAAUGUACCUGGGGGUGUAAUAUACUAGCAGUUGGACUUUUCUUAAAGAAAGAUUGUUUAGCUAGGAUUGCAUCUUUGAAGACUUAAUAAGCUUUAGAAAAGACGAACCACCUUUCCAACUUCCCAUGCUCUCCUAGGAAGACUCAGCCCAUGAGCUUUCUGUAUCUAUCCAAACCAAGAGCUAUAUUCUUGUUUCUGAUGUAUUUUAGAAGAGUUAUAUUCUCUUCUAAAAUACAUCAGAAACAAGUGACUCACAUCACGCCUUCCAACUUCAAGAUGAUGGAACACACUUGAGUGAAGUCAAUACCAAGAGGAUCAGUCAAUGACUAGGAAGAGCAUUGUUAACAGGCGUUGUUUCAAGCAGCAGAUUCCUGAAUAGAGUGCAAUGUUCUGAGCUCGCUCUUUCUCCUUUAAGAAUAUUCUCUGUUUUUCUCCUUUAAGAAUAUCCUCUGUUUUUCCAGAGCUAGUUUGGCACCAAUGUAUUAAAGUAUAGAGAAAUCAUUCUCCUCUCCUCUCUGUCAUAUUUUUCCACAAGAGGACAAGUAAAAUGACAUAGUAUUAGGCUCUUUAAGUUAGUGAUUGUGGUGACUUCACAUUAUGUUCCAAGAAAGGCAGUUCUCCCAUCAGUUGCAAAAACAUUCAGUGUACGAGUGAUUAAGUGAAAUGGCUUAAGAUCCCUGUUCUGUAAUGUGGAGACUCUCACACUCUUCUUUAUUCAUUUGUUAAUUACACUGGUGUCUGUCUACAAGUAUCACAGGAAAAAUAUACCCUAAGUGACUUGUACAGCUUCAGACAAUACACAGUGAGAAUGCCAUUAGUUGGUCUCAAUAGUUUUUUGUUUCUAACCCUGAGAUCACUUCUCAUGACCACACAACCUUCUGCUCAUUUAUUCUUUUAACCUUUUGGUCACUCACAACUCAGCAGGCAACAAAAUUCAUCUGAAUUCUGUUUAGAUGAUGGCCUUGAGUGACGUCCUGUAGUGCUAUGACUAAUGCAAAAUGAGUAGACUGACUCAAUCCACUUCCCCAAAUUCAUGUCACACAGAACACCAACAGAGCUAGCGUUAAUUAUCACUCUAGUUGGCAAUAUCAGAAGGGAGGCCAAGGACUAAAUAAGUGUGGCAAUUAAAUUACACACUUUUGAUGCUGUAUCUCCAAAAUAAAAUGAUAAGAGAUAUAUUUUUGCUGCUUCUCUUUAUAAUACCUGCCCUAUGCUGGGUGCUUUUCCACUCUGCUUGAUUCAAGCUUUUAUGAGAUUGCAAGAAAGAAAGAAAGAAAGAAAGAAAGAAAGAAAGAAAGAGAAAGAAAGACCCUAUAAGACUUUUGUUAGUUAGAUAAAGAGUCACACGGAAACUUCAUACUGUAUCAUAAUUAUUAUAUUCAAUGAAAUCCAAACAGAAAUAUAGGGCUGCUACACACAAAAGUGAUAAAGUUAUUAGGAUCAUUCAGCCAUAGAUCCUCUGUAUUGCUAUCAUUCAAGUUUGGUUUACUCUUCCUUGUUCAGCACACCACAGUAUCCAGGCACUGGUUUGGCGUCUCCUUGGCUUCUUUUGAUUUGGAUGUUACCGCAAAAGAGAGCAGAGUGUCAUCAGCAAACUGAUGGCACCUUGCCCCACUGCUUUGUGGAGGGAGGGAGGGACCCAAAGCCUGUACUACAGGGCUGUUCCAGGAGAAUACAGUCUGUGCUAUCAAAAGCUGCAGAGAGAUCAAGGAGGAGGAGCAAGGUCCCAUGCCCUGGUCUCAUUCUUGAUAAACAUCAUCCGUCGGGGUGACCAAGGCCAAUUCAGUCCCACAGCCAAGCUGAACCCAAAUUGGCAUGGGAUCUGAUAAUCCAUUUUAUCCCAGAAUGCCUGCAGUGCCUCCACAACCCUCUCCACAAUGUCCCCUAAAAAGGAAAUAUUUGUGACUAGUCAAUUGUUAGUCCAAACCAACAUGUUCAGGGCUGGCUACACCACCACAUUUUUUUCAAUGCAACAGGGACCUCUGCCUCAUGCAAUGAAAUACUAACCACUUUCUGGAUCCAACCAGUCAAGCCACCUCUGCUAGAUGUUGCUCAGUUGCCAGGGCUUUGUAACUAAAACCCCAGGCGGUUUGGGAAUACUGGGGGUGGAGUAGACUGCCUGCUAAACCUCAAACCCUGGCUUGCCUAUAAGGAUGCAAAUGAUUUAUUUAUUUUAAAGCCAUAAAAGUGCUAGCCCUAUUAGCAUGCUCGGAAUUCUGACAUUCACUGGCUGUAGAAACACAAGGGUAUGUAAGGGCUGUGACUUCAGCCACUGAAUUUAUCCCAGUUUGGGCACAACCCACCAUUAGUGUGGAAUGGAGAACCCAAAAUCCAGUUCCUAAUAACAGCAGCAUGUGACCAAAGGUGCAGGCAAUCAGCUACAAAGUAACAUUUUUAAAAAGUUAGAUCAGACAGCAAGUAUAAAUGCUAAGUACAGAAAGGCUUUAGGGGAAGAAGCAAUCAAACUCACCAGCUAUUAAGAAAAAAUACAGCUACUCCUUUGUUGGAGCAGAAUAAUUUCGCUUUCAGUUGGUAAUACAUGGUUCUAAGUCAUAAGCCACCACUCCAACUCUGGAUUCACCCCACGGUGCUUAUGUUCUUCAGCAACCAGGGAGCCCUAAGCAGAUAAUGGAAUUCUUUCCUCUUGAAAGGAUAGAACACUUUUUCUAACAUGGAAAGCACCCCAAUCUCUACCAUUUGCCUCACUGUGUAGCCUCAUGAUCAGAGAACCCAAGUGAUGAUUAGAGUCUUAACCAACGAUGUACGUAAAAACCCUACAGUACACUCUCUGAAAACUGUUGGUAACUGGAUCAAAGCUUUUAAAAUCUUACCUUUUUGUGGCAAAUCUGUUGCUAAUUUGCAUGUGGAUCAGACAAGAAUAUUUUAGGCUUUUUACCUGUUUCAAAGUAUUCUUUUUCUCUUCCAUUUUUUCCCACAUUAUCCUCAUUAACUGACAUAUUGUAUCUAUUUUUAACAUCUUAGUAAUUUUCAAAAAGAUUGUGCCCUGGAAUGUCACCUGAACAGAUACUUUCUUUUAGAAGUCUUCGAGAAUGUUAAUAGACUCUUUGAUUCCUUUCGCUCAGUUGUUCAGUAAUAUGUAUCAUAGUGACACAAGAAGACAUUUCCCGUAAUUUAUAAGACAAAAGUAGAUUUUGUUGGACUGCCGGAAACAAUUGCUAUUCUGUAACAUAAAUAAUAUCAGCAGCAGUACUGUAAUUCUAAAUGAGCAGGAACUAUUUGUGAGUCUGUGUCCAUUGUAUUAGAUACCACUUUGUAAUCGAGUAAGCUUUGAAAGUGGACGUUGAUUUAUAUCUGAAAGUCAGGUCAUUGUCCUUAUGCCACCACUUUUAGUUCAGAAUAUAUAAAGUAACAUAAGCAGCACAUGUAAAAUCAAUCUCAGUCUCACUCACAUCUCAUCUUGCAUAUCUGCAUUAGAAGGUGCUAGCUGAAAUGUGCUUGCAUUCUCUCUCGUCAUAUACUGUCAAUAAGAAGGAGCAGUCAUGCAGUUAUAAUGAAGCAAGUUGGUCAAAAACAGUUCAGCAAGCAAAGUUUUAUAAAGCACAAUUCAAAUUAAUAGCCUUUUACAAAAGAACUCACUUCUUUAAGUCUUCUUUAAACAUUGAUGAAUAGGAUGUUUCUGAAUUGCCAAUGUUAAUUGUGCUAGGAUCGUGGUUGUAGUUCAUUGGGGUUUUUGUUACUGACUUCAGUGGGAUUUAAAGUGGGCCUUUUAAUAUAUAAAGAUAUUAUGUUUUUCAAAAUGUGUAUUCGAAUCAGCUUAUAGCCUUUUCUUUUCAAUGGGGCAUUUUUGCUUUUUGUAGGAAAAGGGAUUUGAGAAAAGUAUUGUUAAUAAAGAAAAGAGUGAUAGACUCACUUCACACUUGAGUUAAUUUCUUAACCACCACAGCAUAGCAACUUAUUAUAUACUUAUAAAAUGCAAUUAUAGUACCUGAAUGACUUAAAAAUAUUUCUCCAAAGGGGACAGCCAUGGCUGGUAGCAAAAUUUUAUAUAACACCACAAAUUGUGCCACAUGUAUACCUGUGGCAUACAAAACUCACUGUGUAAUUUGUUAGGCAGUAUAUUAGGCAUUUUACACUAUUUUUUGUAAACUGCACACACACAGAGAGAGAGAGAGAGAGAGCGAGAGAGAGAGAGCAGCCUAUAAAUUUUGUGAUUAUAUAUAUGGCAAGUAUUAAGCAUGGCAUCUAAGCAUCUGUGCAUCUAGCUUCAUUGGCAAUUAUGUUUAUCAAAUCCACACUUGUAGCUAUAAUUUUAAAGCACAUCUAAUACUGUGUGUGUAAAAGUGGUUUUAACUAUCCCAAGUGUUUCAGAGAGCUAAAAGGAACAGAAAACAAGAUGUAUAACAUUUUUUCUGUAUCCCAUAGCAUAAUAGCCUGUGCGUCUUCCUGAAGCAUAACAAUGUAACUUUCUGGUUUCAACUCCAGCCCACUUCCCUCUUUUUAAUUUUAAUUUUCAAAUUUCACUGACAUCUUCAAACAGGGGGAAAAAUGAGACUUCAUGCAGCAGUUAACAUGUUAUCUUUUCCUUGCUGAUAUAUUUUUAUUUUUAGUUUCUUCACACACCACUAAGAUGAGUUUUUGAGUUAGGUUGCAGUGAGAGAAGCCCAAAUAAACUACUUGGGAUGUAUCAAUAUGUUUUAACACAGGAAUUAUAUAAACCAUUUCUGUAUAGCUAUACAUCUACAGUGCAAGGUGUAUACUUUAUAUUAUAAGCAAUAAUCCUUGCCACACAUUCAUAAAAUGCACAGAGAUUCAUGCAGCUACACACCCAACAAGAGAAAUUAUGCGUGAUUUUAAAAAUAAUCCAGAAAACACGGAAGAAUGUAUAAUUGAACACAUGGGAGACUAACAUGGAGGAAAUAGAUUUAUCUGUCCAUCUUUAGCAGACACACAAUCUGGCACUAGGGCAAGACAGGAAGAUGAGGCAUAUCAUUCACUUCCUCUAAGUCCUUUUCUCACUCCAGUAGGAAUCCCCAUUAAUUGCACUACCUCACUGGAGUGCUAUGUAGCAUAUUGAAACAAGGCUUCAAAAGAGUUCUAAGUACUAAGGCAUCUAGAAGACAAAAAGUUGUAAAGGCAGGAUAUACUUAACCUAUGGAAAUUGUGAUUAAAGCUGAGUAGCUAUUAUUCUUAUUUAUGAAAAGGCGAACAGUUGUAAUAUUAAAAUACCAUUUAAAAAGGCAGGGGGAGGGAAAAUACAGCAGUGCAAAGGUUGAGCAUUUUCAAGCUUUUUAAAAUACAUCUCAGAAACAUGAGAAGGAAUAAUUUAACCCACUUAUUGAUGGUGGGACAAGAAGCAAGGAAGAACUUAUUGUCUGUAGAACCUGCUUUGCGAACAGAAGCAAUGGUGUUGGCAUUUCGUGAGACAUUGGCCAUGUGUCUGUUAGACAGUGCUUUCAGCGACGAAAUCUCAGCCUAGCUUUCCCCAUUUUACAAACACUAAAACAAAAAUGAAGCCCCGUGUAUUAAAUGAGAGAAGGAGAAAUAACAGUCCAAAAAAAAAAUUCCUUUCACUAAAUUAUCUGGCUUUAGUUAAAGAACCAUCUAAAGCUGGACUGCAGGGUAAAGCUGCUGUCUUUUGCUUUGAAGCGCCAUUGGUAGUUCUCCUCCAGGCAGUGCUUCAAAGCCAAGUUAUUUCUGUUCCUCACAGCUCAAUUGUGUGACUCAGUAGCACCCUAGAAGGGGGUAGGUUGUUUUUAAUUGCAUCCCUGCUUUAAAGGACCCCAGCUGCUAUGAAAAGACGGGAAGACCUGAUGCAUGAGGAAUCAGGGAGGUGGCAUAGAUGAAAGGGUUAAGCAAGAAAGGAAGGGUUUUAAAAUGUUCUCGCUUGCUAAAUCCAUAGCAUCCUGUACAUGCUCUGUUCUACGUUCUUUUUAUAAAAAGGGGGGGAUGCUGUCAAGAUUUGUGGUAAAUUGGUAUUUUUUUAGUUUGGCAGUAUAAAAGUGGGGGAAAUGACGAAAUAAUUUGAUGUCUCUGUAAUGGCUCUACAAUUUGCAUGACCGUCAUCUAUUUUGGGUACACAGUGUUUCCCACCAGUGUUUUAGCUGCAAUCCUAUAAACAAUUACCUGGGAGUAAAACUCAUUGUAUUCAGUGAGGUUUACUAAAGUAUGGACAAUAGCCAGGCAUCCUCUGUUUAAAAAAGAAAUAAUAUUUGUAAAGUUUACAACACACACACACACACACAAAGUUCAUGUUUUAGCUAAUUAACAAUUCAAAAUUCAUACUUCUCAAAAUAUGAAAGUAUACUGACUUAACGGGUAUCACAAAAAAUGUUCAUUAUCACUUAAGGAAUAUUGUUUCCCUCUCCCGUAAUAAACACGACCACUGGGGCGGGGGGAAUCACCCACAAGCCUGUGAGUGGUGCAGGCUGUCUCUUCUGGCCUGAACAGGACACAAAUAGGUUCCGCUGGCAGGUACCAAGGCAGAACAGGCAGUGGAAUGGACCUUCCCUUAUGUACCAGUAAUGUCACAUAUGUCAAUUUUGCAUGCUGGCAGGUUGCCAGCAGGGUUCAAAAGCAACUCAUAUGCUGUUACCAAUUUUCAACAGAUCUGAUACCUAGAAGACCAUGGUGUCAUUAUCUGUGUCCUAGUCCCACAACUGCAGUGGGAAUCCCUUGUUGAAUUCCCUUGUCCACAUUAUAUACAGCAUUUUGGCUAAUCCUCUUUAAAAGCAGUCAAAGUUGGUGGCCAUCAAUGCCCUCUGUGGGAGCGCAUUGCAUAGUUUAACUAUGUGCUAUUCUUUUGUGUGUCUGGAAUUCUCCAACAUUCAGCUUCAUUGAAUGUCCAUGAGUUCUAGUGUCAUGGGGGGGGGCAAGUGGCAGAGCUUCAUGCUCUGGCACCAGGGGGCGGAGAGCAGGUGGAGGCUGGGCUGGCGCGCGUCCCGGGGGCGGGGGCACCCCCCGCAGGGGUGUGGUGUGCAUCCUGGGGGCGGGGCACGCCGCCUGCAUGGGCAUGGUGCCCAGCAUGGGCAGGGGGCAGCCGCGAUGGCACCCCAUCAGGAUUGAACUGCCGGGGGCGGUGCGCUCCCCCUGCACUCCUCUUCCUCCACCAGUGGGGGAGGGAUUUCUCUAUCCACUUUCUCCAUACCAUGCAUGAUUUUACACAUCUCUGUCAUGUUGUCUCAUUGCUAUCACUCCUGUUAUUGUGCCAGAAUAUAAUGUGUAGCCAUAAGUAGUGAGGCAAUGUGAUAUGUGUAGCUGAUUGUUGCUUUCAAAGGAUGGGGAGCAAGAUGGCUCCUAAGAUCCUAUUCAAAUGAAUUCUAAGCAGCUACAUUUACACUACCUUAUAGUGUGGUCUGACAUGUGCCUACACAGAAGUUUGUUUCACUUUGUUCAAAGUGGAUUACUUUUAAAAUGAGUGUGCAGAGGAUUGCAGAUUUACAAUCCUAGGCAUAGUGCUAUUGAGUUCAGUGAGACUGACUUCUGGGUAACUGCAUAUGGGAUUGCAGUGUCCAACAGCUGGAUCAUGGCUGUAAUAUUUUGCGUGUGAAGAAGGUAUUUUCAGAGCUCCAUCUCACUCCUUUGUUUAUAGACUUUCUUUUUGUAAUAGUUUGGUUUUUUUUGAAGUAGAAAGCUGAAUUUAUGCUUAAGUUAUCCAUAAGCUAUUUAUUCAGCAGUGUGUGAAACUUUUUAGGCAGACUUCACAGUCUCACAAAACUGUCACAGAGAAUAUUAGUCACGAUAGUAUGAUUCAAAUAAAAAAAAGGCAAAGGAAAAUCAUGCCAAGGAAAAAAAUGUGGUUUGAUUUUUCUUUCCCAAGGUGCUCUGCAAUUUUCCACUUUUUAUGGAUAAUUUAAGUUGUCUGCUCCUGCUGCCUCGGGCCUGUCUAUCCCCCACUGUGCUGAAUCAGCAUUUAAGGAAGCAGAGUUUCCUUUUUCCAUAUGUGAAGUCAGCAGUCCUUUGCUAAGAGAAGGUCCUGUUUUCUGGAGUGUCAGUUCAGCACAGCAGGGAAGAAGUGGCCUGGCGGCAUUGGAAAUAUACAAUUAAAACUUGCCAAAGUAAGGAACAGAACCUCAGAAUGGACUAAAAGAACUGAUAUGGGUAGAUGGAAUUAAGAUAAUGUUUUUGAAAAAGUGCUAGUGGAGAUGAGCAACUGCAAUGAUUGGGCUAACCUUAGUCUCAAAUGUGUGAGAGAUGGUUGUGAUUUUUGUUAGUUAAGUUGCUAGGCUGUUCACAGUUACUUGGGAGUAAGCCCCAGUUUUUCUGAGUGGACAGUUCCUCAGCCAGAGGUGAUGGAAAGGUACCCUGCAUGUUUUCAACAUUGCUCUUUCUAUUCAUACUUCACAUGUUCAGAGAGGACCAUUGCCAUUGCAGUAGUAUUGGUGGGUAUGUUUUCCUUCCAUCAGCAGCGCUGGGACAUUUAAAAAAGUUUAAGUGCUUUAUCAAUCCAGUGUUGCUAUGCUUGAACCAAAACCAAAGAUCUCCAGAACUCCUUAGGCGGUACUCUUGAUAGCUUCACAUUGUGAGACCCGUUGGAUACCUGUAAAGUUCAAUUGGAAGGUUUGUAAAGCCUUGUGAAGGGCACAAACAAGUACCAAGCCCCCCCCAAACCCCCAACUUGUUGAAGUUGCAAAUUAAAAAGAAACAUAUAAGCAAGAACACACACCACUCAGCCAUUUCUUAAUUCUUUUAAUGUAAGAAAGAGACAAAGCCCUACUCCGUUCCCCCCUAAGGGGUUAUAUUAGAAAGCGAAUCACUUUUAUUUCCCUCUCCAAAAAUUCCUGGACCUAUUUGUCUGCAAUUUGGCAGGCUUUGGAUGGACUCGUGUGCCAGCAAUUUUCACUUUGACCACAAGGUAAAAGGUUAUAGCUGUGUUUAGAUUCCCCAUCUUAGCGAGUAGAGGAACAGAGAGCUCCACUAUAUACAGAGCGGCUUGGGAGCUCAAUUACAGAAUGAAGCGGAGAGCACAGAGUAACAGAAACAGAAGGGAAUUCUAAGAAAUGCUCAGAUAUAGGACAGAUCUUGUGGCCAGUUCACACUCCUAUUAAAUACUAUGUGAGGAGGGAAGUACGAUUAUUAAGGUUAAUAAUUAAGUAGGCCAUAUUGCCAUGGAAGCUGUGUGAAAUUGUCACAAUUUGGACAAAGUUUUGCUUGGGUUUUUGUUUUUUUAACCUUUUAUUUGUCCUGCUUCAUUCUAGGCCAAUACAAAAGCCCUACAAUUCAGUAUAAUUUUUUUCUACCUAAACAAAUGCACCACCAAAAUAACUGUAAAAUAUUUCAAAACUCGAAUGAAUAAAGAAAAGCUGACUUGGCUGCACUGGUGCUUGGUUCUAUAAACAAAUGUCAAGAAAGAAAACAAAUAAAUAGAACUCUUCCAUACAUUUACCAAGAAGCAUUUGUGUUUGCAUUGGAAGAAAAAAUAAAUAACACUGUUCUCUGGAAUUAGUUUAUCCUAUACCAGAACUAAAUCCUGUUAUCUCUAACUGUCAGUGUAAUAAAGAAUGUACCUAUGGUUUCCAAAUGAAAUACCCAGUAUUUCAACAUCAUUACAAAUACUGUCAUUGUCCUGCGGUUAGGAAGAUUAAACCUGACUCUUCCACCAAACGGUUCUAUUUUGGGCAAGUUGAAUUUUAAAAAGCAUGCUAAUGGCUCCCAAAAUGACACACUUGAAUAAAUCAAAUUCAAGAAUGUUCUACUUCUCAAAGUACAGUUUAUUUUUAAAGAAUGAUUUUGACAAGUCAACAGAAUUGCAGCAGAUCAGUCAAAGUAUAUUGUUGUGCAGCAAGAGUCUCCAGGGGUUCCAGUGCUUUCCCAGGGUUUGGUUUUCUUUGAAUGCAGGUCACUGUAGACUGUGAUGUGUUUGGAAUAUAUGCUUUCUCCUCCCCACAUAUACAACCUGAGCAUAGGAUGGAAUAACAUACAGCAUUAACAGAUCUUACUUCCCCAUUAGGUUUAUAGGAGGAUCCUCAAAGCCAUAGCUUGGGGUGUCAGCAUAGAGGGAGCAAAGCAAGCCUAUCUUUUCCAGCUCCCAGCUUCAGAUGAAACUAAAAUAAAGACUAUCCCCAUGGUUUAUUGUUCUCCCACUGCUAGAAAGAUGUGGAAUCCAGCCAGGUGGAAGAGCACCACCAACCUGUUGUCUCUAUAGCAACAUGACUAACUGGCCAUUCAGAUAGGAUACUUACAGCCCCCAGUUAGGGCAGUACACUUACCAAAGAAACCAGGUUGACUAGUUCAGCAUUUCCCCUCCACUGCAGGCUCAUAAUCUUGCAGAUUCAAAAUAAAAGGAUUGGUUGGAACCCAAAGAUAUCAUUCAAACCAAUCCCCCAAACCUAUAAGAUAGUGCAUUUUUGAAAGGAAGCAGGUGGCAUAUUAAUUUGAAGAUACGGGGCAUUAAAAAUAAGUACAAUAUAUAAGUGCAAGAGAAUAAAAAAUGCCAUAAUACCAAAACACAAAUAUUAGCACAACCCAGAGAAUAGUAAUUUGGUUUUGAACAAAAUUAUUGAGCGCAAUUCUGUGGGCAUGUUUUUCAUGGAAAAAUCAGUGGAAGGCUUUUAUGUGUCUGCAAAGAAAUGAAACCUCAGCUGUUUCAUUAAUUAUUGCAGGCAUAAAUUUUGUGUGAUGACUGUUUAAGGCAGAGCCACGGACAGAGGCUUAGCGUUUACAAGAUGCAUGUAACAGAAAAUAAAGAGUAGCACACCAGACAGACCAAGCAUUACAUUACCUGAAGCAGGUGGAGGUGCAGCACCGACAGUGGAAAGGUGGCUGCCACCACGGUGAACAAUGACUGAGCAACUUAUUAGGGUGGGUAGUCAUGAGGUGAGUGGCCCUGUAGGAUCUCCUAUACUUCCUGAGACACAUAGUGAAUGAUCCAGAAUUUAGACACAUACAGUAUAAGACAGAGGGUAUGUAUAAAGAUUUAGAUGUCCUUUUUGCAAGUCAUGUAAUCCCUAUUGGAAUUUCAGCUCCGGUGGGGGCGGGGCAGUGAAUAGUUAAGAGUUAGGGGAAGUCUCAUUGUACAAGCAGAAGAUUCAGCAUUGGAUAAAACACUAAACUGUGGCUCUCACAAUUUUUAUCCUUUCCUUCCUUCUGGUUACAUUAGCAGCUUCCAUACGUUCUCCCAAUGAAUGAACCCUGUUACUAGGUGAACCAUUCUUGAGAAUGGUUUUAUCUUGAAUAAUAGACACUACUUCAUGGCAACGGAGAUUGCUGUCCUAUAUGCACUUGCAUGGGAGUAAAUCUAAGUGAACUUCCUAGUAGACAUGCAUGUGAUUGUGUUUCUCCUAGAGGAGCAAAUAGCAAUGUAUGUUUGCUUAACGCUUGAUAAGGAGAGAGGUUGUAAAUUUCCAUUAAUAUGUUUUCUUAUUCGGCAAACUUUAAAAAAGAAGAAAAAUCCCUGUUUAUAUUACUCAGAAAUACAAGCAAUCCAGGGAAACAUCAUUAUCUGUAUGUAGCCAGGUCACUCAAGCCAAAUAUUUGUUUUAAUAUAUUGCUCUCCAUGAAAAUUAUUUUGAUUUUACACUAUUGCAAACAACCCAGGGAACUUUUGACUGCCACCAAGUGGGAAAGCAAGCAGGCUUUGGUAAAUCAGCUAAGGUAGCGUGUCUCUUCAGCAUUCUUUCUUCUUAACCUGCCUUUUCACUGAAGUUUAGGCUUUCUGCAUUUCUUAGUCCCUGUGGAAUUAAUUAACUCUAUUUCUAGAGGAAAAAAAGAGGACAAUUUAAAUGUAACAGUGUUUGUAAUUCUCAUUUUGAACAGAAAAUGUCUAAUCAACACCUGCAGUCUGGAUGUGCAUUAGUUUACUCUGCAUGCUACCUAGAAAAUAUAGCCUAAUGAUGCUUUUGAUAGAGUAAACAUUUGCAAAUGAGGGUUCAAUUGCAUAUAUUCCGUGUGCUGUAUAAACAAAGCAAACGAGUUCAAUUUGUGUGGCUUUCUUCAGAUUGUGAUAGGAAAUGUGUGAUAGAGAACCCCCUUUGGAAACAUUUAGAUAUCUUGGAAUUAAAACUGUCCCCACAAUUGUCACGAUUGUCUAUUACAUAGAGGUAAUAGCAACUGUGUCUCUAGGAGCCUAUCCCAGUGUCCCUUCAAAACCAAAAUGCAUCCUACAAACCUGAUUAGGCAACCAUCUGAUAAAUGUCUGGUUAAGCGGUGGUGAUCAUUAAGAAAUGUACCUGAUUUGAUGUAAAUAGAUUUGUUUUAUACCACGUUUUCCUUUAGCAUGUAUAACCAUGUGACUGGAAAGGUCAGUUUCAAAGAUCCUUAAUGCACAAAUGACACUAAGAUACACCACUCCUCUCCUGACUGGCACAACAGAGAGUGACAGAAGUAUAAUCUACACCCAAAGUAUGCCUUCCUAAGCAAUUUCCCUAAUGGAUGGCCAUACUUUGGGAUUGAACCAGUGCAUAUGGAGAAUGGUGUCAACAAGGGAACUGUAGUAAAAUGGAGAUAAAGAUUUUUUUAAUACAAAUCUCGAAGACCUUGACAGAAUAUGAGUUUCCGUCAUGCUUUGAGCUUAGAACAAAUGACAACCUUGAUACUACAGAACUUGGAGGCUAUUAUCGAUUAUUCUUUCUUUGGAUCUUUUCCAUUUGAAAGCAAACUUUUGUAAGGGAGUAUGAUACUGAUUUUGUCCCUGUUAACCACUGAUUUCUUGAACGUGUUUCUAGAAAUUCUUAGUACAAAGUAAUGCUUUGUUUGUUUUUAAAGGAAAUGAUCUUUAAAGUAAUAUGGCUCUGAAGAUAAGUAACACAGUGCUGUUAGAAACUCAUUUGAUGACAUGAACAUUAUAUCACUGUCAUUACCAGGUGGAAGCUUAUAUAUGGAGCCCAGUUUUAUAAAAGAUACACUAGAAAUGUGGCUAGUCCUAGCACUUCAAGAGGCUUGGCAAAAGCUUAAGAGAAUUUGAUUCAAAACCCCUGAAGGUGGCAUGUGUGUUUUUGUUCAUUCCAAUACUUCCAAAUUCUUACAGUGUGUUUUUUCCCCCCAAACAAAAAAUUGUUUUAUUUCACACAAAAGAGGUUAUUCAGAGAAACACUGCAAUGUACUGUAUUCUCUUUGUUUCUCUUCUUGAGAGUAAAUGGAAAGUGGCUUAAUGAGGAUCUGUAUUACCAACAGGUAUUUAUGAUAGGCUUCCAUACCUUUGUGUUAGAAACAAACUGAAAUGAUUUAACGUAAUAAACUGAAAGUGUGAAAUUAGAGCCCCAUGAUACAUUGUUUCACUGGGUGCUUAAAAAAAAGGUUCAAUAAUAGUACUAAACAGUCAUUACUGAUUAUCAAAAGCAAAACUCAGUAUUGAACUGUGUGUUUUCUGCAUUGCAAUUACUAAACAUGCAGUUUUUAAAUAAUUAUAUGAAUGAAUUUCCUAAAAUAGUUCUCUACAUAUUUUGGUAAUUAAUACUGUAUAUUUUUGCCAAAUCACCAAAUAAUUUAUUAACAGUAAGACCAGCAACAGCUUGUCAGAAUGAGAGGGAAAUAACUAACAUUUAAGGAAUGUAGUAAACAUAGAGCUAUUCAGCAUGAUUUCACAGUGCAUGAAACACAAGCAUUGAAUUCAUUUUUAAAGCUGUGUUAAUCUUUGACAUUUGUUCAAUUUUAUUCUCAAUUGUUGUCUGCUUCUCUCAACAAUAUAGGAAACUGGAGCUUUGUUACACUGGGUUCUUUUCUAUAGCCUCUGCUCUUUUCCACAAAGGUUUAGCAACUGUGCAAACCAAGCUUAAGGAACAUUCUAGAACAUUAACCAUAGAGCUUCAACUCUUACCCUGUCCAAUAGAACAUUCUUGCAUCUGUAAAGACCUCAAAGGUUGGGUCUGCCAUCUUUCCACACAAUUCUCAUCUAACCUCCCCAUUGCAUUUAGAGUGUGUAGGAACCAGCUUAGUUCUGAGGAGAUGGCGGGGGGGGGGCAGUGGAACCGGUUACACCAAUUUCAGUGCUUUACAUUUAUUAUCAGUGUAAUAAAUAAAUAAUGAUACGAGGAAUUCUUUUCACACUGCCUGAACAUUACCAAGCAAGCAUGUCACCAUUGCUUUUUUCAAGCUUAACAUCCUCGUGGGAACAAGUGCUGACAGCUACUAAUUCUGACAGUACUAUGGAGUGCCCCACACUAUGAGUGGGGGAGGGCAAUACAAUAGCAAUGGUUUGAUUGUUUCUAGUAUCCAUCAGCAAGAAAGCUGCCUUGUGUUCCAAGCCCUCUUCCACAUAUUGUGAGGGGCCUAGUGCUGACCUUUAGUGUCAAUGGCAACUUUAUUCUCCACAUAACUCACUAAAAUGGUAUCUUAUUUCCAUCUCACUCAUCCUUCAGUUCUCAAUUCCUUCUGACCUACAAGAAGUCAGGAAACUGUUUCUCAUGGCCUUGAUGUUUGCAGGCCCAUCAGUUUUUUUUUAAUCAGGACAGCUUAAGGAGAAUAGCAAUCAGGUUGUAUCUGUUAACGCUAAUCCUAAGCAAUGUUUCUGAACUUCCCCUCAGAGGCCUUUUCAUUGGCUAUUGUCCACAUACACCAUUUGCUAUGUGUUGGCAAAUCAACCUCUGCUGCGAAACACCAUUUGACUGAGGACCUGGCUCUACCUUCUGUUUUUCUAGAGGCAUUUUUCUGACUUUUUUAUGUUAAGCAGCCACCUGGUCCAUUCCAUCAACAUUUGUAAAACACUAUGCUGUAGAUAUGUGAGCAAAACUAGACAUAGUCUUUGUCAGAGCAGUUCUUCAUAGCGUAUAUUAUUUCCCUGUUUAUAUAAAGCUUUCCAGAAACAUAAACAUAUAGUUCUAUAUGGACACUAUUGUUGUUGUCGUUUAGUCGUGUCCGACUCUUCGUGACCCCAUGGACCAGAGCACGCCAGGCACUCCUGUCUUCCACUGCUUCCCGCAGUUUGGUCAAACUCAUGCUGGUAGCUUCGAGAACACUAUCCAACCAUCUAGUCCUCUGUCGUCUCCUUCUCCUUGUGCCCUCCAUCUUUCCCAACAUCAGGGUCUUUUCCAGGGAGUCUUCUCUUCUCAUGAGGUGGCCAAAGUAUUGGAGCCUCAGCUUCACGAUCUGUCCUUCCAGUGAGCACUCAGGGCUGAUUUCCUUAAGAAUGGAUAGGUUUGAUCUUCUUGCAGUCCAUGGGACUCUGAAGAGUCUCCUCCAACACCAUAAUUCAAAAGCAUCAAAAGCAUGGACACUAUAUAGGUAUUUAAAAGUUGCAUAUCUGUAACUGGUGUUUUUUUAAUGCAAGCAUUCCAGUCAGAAUUCUUUAUUUAUUACAAUUGAAUCCCAUCUUUCCUCAAGGAACUCCGGGUUUGGUACAUAGGUCUCCUCCUCCCUGUUUUAUUCUCAUAACAACCCUGUGAGGUAGGUUAGCGUGACUGGCCCAAGGUCACCCAGUGAGCUUCAUGGCCAAGUGGGGAUGCAAAUCCAACCCAGUGCUCUAAGUACUAAACCACCACUGGGAACUCAUCCACACUUCCACUGUAUAGAAAGCACAGGUCCAAGCAAUUUCCCCCUUGCCCCACUCCUGUCCUGGGGGGAAAACCACUUUUUAGCUCUAAAUUGGAUCAAACCUGAAUUGCCGUUUGCUCUGAUUGAACACUAAACAGCGUUUUUCCCAGGGAAAAGCAGUGGGACAAAAGGAAGUGUGGCCCUGACUCUCAACUCUCAAUCACUUUUUGGUUCUUUACUGUAUUUCCUUGGAGUAUUCUGUUGGAGGAGGCCACAUGCUGGUGGAGCCACUGAUCAAUGGAACCAGAGUUAAAGUGGGCAAAGCCAAACACAAACGAGGAACCCCAUCUCUUCUCUUCUCUUUCUUUCUUUCUGCCAGUAUCUUUCUGUCUCCUUGCCAUAUGCAUGGAAUUAGGCUAAGAGCUUCAUAAAUGUAUGAUAAAAGCUGCAAGUUGUUCACCCCUGCUUUAAGGUUUUCCAUUAUAAUACCUAAGAGCUUUUCUUUUUUUACUUUAUGCACCCCAGCUUCCCUUUUGCUUAUUACAUGCUAUUUCUCCUUUGAUGUUUGUGUGCUCCCAGCUGUUUUCUUUGUUCUGCAUCUAAGUUUUUCUUUGCCAUUUAUUCCCAUCGCAUGGCUGUGGUGAUGCAUCAUGAUGUCAUUUGGAUAAAAACUCUACAUCCUCCCCACUGCUUCUUACUUUGGGUAAUUGUGUUUCCGACCAGAAAUGGUGUAUUGUCUGCAAGUAUGAUCCUAUCAACAGGAAGUUUGCUUUCUGUGCACCUUAUCUAGGAAAAACCUUUAGAUAUGAAGAUUUAUAAUAGUCUACAAUGGCUGAACAAAUGCUAAUUUUACGUUUUGUAAGAUAAAGGUUUUGCCAUCUAUUCCACAGUCUACAAAAAACCCUUUCUCUAGCAAGGUUUCUCCUAAGGCUACUCAAGAAAAAGUGUUGAUAAAUAAAACACCUUUUUCAAACUAUGUCAGUUCUUUUGUCUCAGUCUCUUCUACCCACAAGCAAAAUUUUAAAUAGGGAUGAGUGAAUCAAUUUCUGAUCUGUGUCACUUUUGCAUGCAAGUUCAUUCCAUGCCGCUUCCAAAUUAAUCUGCAAUUAUAUAUAUUUUUUAAAAAUUGCAUGGAAAUCACAUUUAAGUGCCAUCCUACUGGCAAGCCUUUCUCUCUGCUGGCAGAGAAGCUCUUAAACCUCUUCCUACAGUCCUUCAAAUGGUUGAAUGCUGGCUGCAGAAUUGCUCCCUAAUUCUUAUUGAAAGACAAUGAACUUUUGGACUAUAAAUCAAGUCAAAACAACCUUUCCCCCCAUAUCCCUCAAUAAAAAAUUGCAAAAGAUUGUGAUUCCUCAUUCAUGUCCACCUUUUCCCCCACAGCAGUUAAAGAAAACAUAAGAGUUCAGUGUUGGUUUGGGGUUUUGCUUUUUGCUUUUUUUGUAAAAAAAUAAUAAUAAUUGUCAGGAUUUGCUUUGUUCAGACCUAGAAACACCUUGGAUGAGGAGAUGGGAAAGCAAGAGCUCCUAGCAGACUCCUCCUGCAUUGCCAGCAAACCUGAGGAUCAAUGCGUCCUUACCACAGAUCUCAACCUCACUCGCCUGUGUUCCUAGUUAGCUUUCACAUCCCACCUAGUCACCUCCAGGUCUACAGGAUCAGAGGAGAUUGCAAAACAAGCAGGAGCUUUGGAGUGCCAAUGAAAUGUCCAACAAGCUACUUAGGAGAUGGUAGAAUCAUGUGUAAAUACCUGCCCAGAACAAUGCCUGGUUGAAAGCCAUGAAAGGUGGAGCUGCCAGGUCUAAAGAAAUUUGCCAUCUCAGCUGCUUUACUUUUCAAGCAACAUCUUAGAACUCCUAUUCCACAAUUUAGGAUUUAUAUGUUGUGCUUUUAGUUUUCACCAAUUGAUAGUUUUUCUGAAUUAGCAUAUGAUACUAAUAUGUUAAAAUUGCAUGCAGCAGGUG